AGAAAGUCGGUUAAUUCGGUUAUAGCUAUUUCGGGUCGGUUAACCGGUCGGUUAACCGAAUGCACACCCCUAAUUAUUUUAGUUUUUGUCCUUAUGCUAUUACAACAUCAUAUAGUUUAAGGGUAUUCUGCUAAGGAAAACAUGAUACUUCAUUAGAGUAGAAGAUGAAGAAGAAGAAGAAGCCAUGGAAGAGUAUUGAAGCAAAAGAGAGAAAAUUUGGUUGGGUUGUGGGAUUAUUGAAAGAAGAAAAAGUGUAAAAUAUGCAUAAUCUUUGGUAUCCUUUCAUUAAAUGGGAAAGAGAUUGAAGGCGUUUUCCUUAGACUUGAGCUUAGCCAAUUAUCUUAGUCAACACCAGCGGAGAUAAUCAAUUCUCCUUUUUAUCUUUUACCGCAAAAGUGGGAGUGUUUUGAUGGUGGGUGGGCCCAUCAAACCCAAAAUGAUUCUUAUUUCAACGAUUUAAAAUACAAAUUUAAAAAUCGCGAUUAAUUGAGCUUAGUUGAGAGGAUAAGUUUACAGUUUUAUAAUAAAGUCCCUCGUGAUGUUUUAAAUAUUUUAAAUCAAGAUAAAAGUUAAGGGUGCUUUUGAUCAAUUUAGUUUGAUGUAAUUUUUAUUUGUUAGUUUGUUUUUUACUAAAAAAUUGGUUAUUAUCUGAAAUCGAAUCGAAUUUUAUUUUUUAUUUCAUAUAUAAUUAAUUUUAACUUUUUUGAUAUAAAAAUACAUAUUUUAUAUUUAAAAUAAUGAAAGUAAUUUAAAUUUUUUGAAAAAUUAUUGUAUUUUAGAAAUAUUUAUGAAAAUAAAUUUGAAAUUUAUCAAAUAAUAUUUAAAAGCCAUAAAACAAAACUCAUUUUAUCAAAAUAAACCUUAAAAAUCAAAAAAAAAAUUAAUAUAAGAAACUGUGAACUAAACCGAGCCGAAUUAAACUAUAAUGGAUGAUUCAAAAAAUAUAAAUAACCCGGCCCUGUGAACCUCUUUGAAACUUCACUAUCCAUGAAAUUAGCCAAUUUGGAAAAGGGUCAAAUUUUGAUUUUGAGUCCUUUUACUAUUCUCAAAUUCGAGAUUUAGUCCUUUAACUUAAAAUAAUCUCUUUAUUUAUAUGUUGUCAUUAGUUAAUUCAAACAAGACAAUUAACUAUUUCAAUUAAAAUUAAAACGUAUUAUUAUCAAAGUGAUAUAAUAUCUUGUAAAAGGUAACUAAAAUAAACAAAUAAAGAACAAAAAAAAUUGAGAGAGAAGUGAAGAUAAGGGCAUAGUUAACUUUUUCUAUGUUUAUUAAGAUAAAUCAUCUUAUGGAGCAAAUCCAAAAAUUAGUUUAGAGUCUACUGUUGGAGAGGAUAAUGAUAGUAGUUAUGGAUCAUCUGUUGGUGAUGAAAAUGCUGUUGAUUUUGCAUUAGAUGAAGUGAACAAUGUUGCGGUUGCAAUUAGUGGAAAAGAGGAGGAUGGGAAUAAUACUAAAACUGAGGUAUGGGACUUAGAUGAACAUGGCAGCUUGGUUGGGUUCAAUGAAGAUGAAGAACAUGAAGAUGGUGAGAGAAGAAGAAGCAAGUUUCUUUUAUACAAUGAUUGAUCUAAUCCGUUAAAAUUUAGUUUAGGAAUGUUGUUUAAAGAUGGCAAAUAGUUUAAGAGUGCAAUUCGAAACUACUCCAAAGAAUGUAGAAGACAACGGAAGUUUCUUAAGAAUGAAUUGAAAAGGGUUGUUGUGAGGUGCAUUGCUUCCCCUAACUGUCCAUGGAGAAUUUUGGCUAGCUACAAUCCUAUUCCCAAAUACUUGCAAGUAAAAACUUUUCAGGAGAAGCAUCAUUGUUUGGGUAGUUCUGAGAACAAAAUGAUGAUUGCUGCAAUGAUUGCCCAACAUUUUGAAGCAAUUAUCAAUGAUCACUUUAAGAUGCAAAUAAGGAAAAUUCAAAGAAGAUGUGCUUCAUAGAUGCAUGUAAAUGUGAGCAUUCAGUGUUGUUAUAGAGCUAAGAAAGUAGUGAAGGAGAAAAUGGUUGGGAAUUACGAGGAAUUUGGUCAGUUAUAUGACUAUACUCAUGAGUUAAGGUCAAAGAUGUCAGGCAGCACAAUAAAAAUGGUUGUUCAUAGUAGAUUCCCCUCCUUAUUUUAGAAGGUUUUAUCUGUGCUUUGAUACACUAAAGAGAGGCUGGAAAGUGAGGUGUAGGCCAUUUAUUGGAUUAGAUGGUUGCUUCCUAAAAGGGUCAUUUAAGAGUGAAUUUCUCACAAUUGUUGGAAGGGAUGCAAACAACCAGAUGUUCCCUAUGGCAUGGGUUGUGAUUGAAGUGGAAUACUUUGAUUCAUGGGCCUAGUUUCUUAGUCUCCUAUUAAUUGAUUUGGGCUUGGAGGAUGGGUAUGAGUUCACAAUUAUCAGGGACCAACAAAAGGUUAGGGAAUUAACUAAUUUGGGCUUGGUCUUGUCUUUUUAUUUUGUUAAGUAUAAUUAGCUAUAUUUUUCUAACAAUCUAACUGGUUCAUUAAAACACAAUUAAGGCCUUCAGAUUGUAAUUUCUACAUAUCGCCAAAGGUGGAGCAUAGGAAUUGUGCGAGGGACAUGUUUGCAAAUUGGUCAGGAAGGAAGCUAGGGAAAUCUUAUGAGUAUGAUUUCUAGCAGAUUGUGAAUUCCAUAACUGAGAAUGAAUGGGAGGAAUUAUGUGCAGCACUAUGUCCGACUUGACUUUCAUUAAAAUUUUAUGGAAACUACGGAUCACGGUCAUAAAAUUCAAAAAAAUAAAACAUAACAAAUAGAAAACACCUACUCCGUGAUCAAUAUAAAACCAUAUGUUAGAAGAUUAACCAAUCUCAAGCAUCUAUUGAUUAUAUAUAGGGAACAGUUGGUAGGUUUACCUUAUCUAACAUGAAUAUAAAUCAGAAAUCAUGAACUGAAAACAUAUAUAUUUACUAACAUUUUAAGGAAAUAUGAAGCAUAAAUCAAUGGGUGAACGAAUCAUUGAAGUAAAAUGCAGAUAGUCUUGAGAUACAAUAUGAUUAAAUCUCUACUUACUGCCCAUGGCACAAGCACCAAUGGUAGAACCUAAACAAUUAAGCUGAAUGAUGUCCACCACAGAUCCUAUGAAUCAAAACCAACCAAUAACAAGUCAAUUGCCAAAAAGAAUUCAAGUAUGAAUCUUAAUAUCUCUUCACUGCAAUGCUCAAACAACAUGAGAGGAAGUAACAUACAAAGAACUUUCAGCCCAAACUGAUACGACAAUCAAAAUCCAAGGUAAGAAGCUAGCAACUCCAAUGGCUCUACCCUGGAACUAACCCAAUCUAGCUUGAGAAUGAAAACUGCCGAAGGUUGCAUCUAGCUCCACGUGUUCAUCCCACAAGUUUUGAGAUCUCUUGCAAAUUCUGGAUUUAUAUAAUCCCAUUGAUAAAUAUGGGAAAAAAUGGUGAGGAUGCUGAAAAUCAUUAUAUGAACCUAAAAUCAUGAUAAUUAAGUCCAAGUCGAUGGUAACUUCUUCACCAAGACUGAAUUUGCCAGAACCCAGAAAGGGCCUCAAAAGAUUACUUUGAAGUUGUGUUCACAAAUCUGUUGACAACUUGCAUUGUCACCAAAUAUCAGUUAAAACACUUGUAUGAAACAAGCAUUCAGCAAAACAAAUUGAAGCUCUUACAGUUCAGGUGCUCCUCCUUAUAUGGCUAAAGCUCCAAUUCAGCAGUGGCACAAAUAACCAAUCUUUCUAAUGAAUCUAGAUGUCAUUGAAGGAAAAUGCAGCAAGUCUUGAGAUACCAGAUGACACCAAUGCUGGAAACUAAACAAUGAAGCUGAAUCGAGUCCACCACUGGUCCUAUGAAUUAAAAAAAAAACCAACCAAUAACAAGUCAACUGUCAAUAAGAAUUAAGUAUGAAUCUUAAUAUCUGAAUUUUAAGAACACAGACACAACAGGGGAUGAAGAUGAGAAAAAAAUAAUAAUAAUAAUAAGCAAAAAUCACAAGCUGUUGAACAAAUUUCCAAUUUUUAUGUUCAUAAAUUAUGUUUUUAACAUUUACAAUGUAGAACUACAAGGUUUCAGUAUGGUAAAGCACCUUCUGAAAGACAAGUAAUUUAUAAAGCAGAGCAAGUUAGAUUCAUCCUGGUCGGUUUUAAUUAAUUAAAGCACUUCAUUUGCUGUUAUUAAUUUAUAAGUUCAAAAUUUACUAUUAACAAUUGUGGAAGACAAAAGUAUGGCAAUAUGAAAAAUGAAAUGAAAAAACUGAAAAUGUAUGAUAAUAUGAAAAACUGAGAUGAAAUGAAACCCUUACCCAUGCAUUUGGAUGACAUAAUUGAGAAGUUGAAAGUCCUCAAAAGCAGAGCCAAAGAUGGAAAGAAAUACAAACUAUUUCAAUCUUUUAAGUCCUCCAUCCCCUUCUUCACCAUCAUGGCUAAAGCUUCUUUUGUUCCCAGCAACUCUCUUUUCAGUAGCAUCCACGUAAAAUACAUGAACACCACAUCUCUCCACCUUGAUAUACUUUUCUCCUCCAUCAUUGUCUUCAUCGAAAUGGAAAUUGUUAAUGUAGAAUUCAAAUGUUGCCUCCUCAUAAUUCUUGUCUUCUAUAACCAUGUCGAUGCUAGAUAGAAUAAACACGUGAUAAUCCAUGUACUAAACUGGCUCAUAAAAACUGCGGAAAGAGAUCUCACUUCUGAAAUUUUCACAACCACCUCCACCAUUGCCGCCAACGGCAGUUGUAAGUUGGUACUCACAAAUACAUUCACGUAAUUGAAAUUCAAGGCAGUGAGUGAGAUCAACCACAAGGCAGAUAGCAAAAACCAAAAAUCUGCUCCCACUACCCCCAUUUGGGGCUAUCUUCAAACUUAAGGAAGAAUUCAUGCUCUGACACUUGAACAUAUUUGCUGAAAUUUUGUUUCCUGGGAAACAACAAAUCAAACUUGGAGCUCUGUCAGGGUUGUAUUGCCAAUCAUAUCUCGCUGCCCAUUUCUUAGCUAGGGAUCCAAUUUUGAGCAUGGUAUUUGCCUCAAUGUUAUUAGUUGAGUCUUGAUUCAAGUUGAAGCAAUUACGGAAUCGCAUCAAAAAGUUAUGAUUUAUGCAAAACUCAUCAUCUAAAGAAUCAAACUGAUUUAAAUUUUGAUCUGCGAAGGAUACUUUUUCUAAUGAUGUGCAGUCAUUUACACUCAAGACUUCCAGAUAUGGUGGAAGCUCUGAGAGUAAUUCGACCUUUGGGCAACCACUAAGAUCCAGAUAAUGAAGAGAUUCCAACUUGAUCGAUACAUUUUUGACCGCUGAGCCACUCAUAUUUAAGUGCUGAAGAUUACAUAGAGAGUCGAAAGGCAACGACACUUCUUCAAUUUGAGUGCCAGAUAAGUUUAAUUUUAUUAAGCUUCCUGGGAUUUCUGGAAAUUUGACCAUUGGGCAUCCACUAAGAUUCAGUUUGCGAAUGGAUUCCAACUUGAUCGAUACAUUUUUGACCGCUGAGCCACUCAUUUUUAAGUGCUGAAGAUUACAUAGGGGGUCGAAAGGCAACGACACUUCUUCAAUUGGGCAACCACUAAGAUCCAAUUUACGAAGGAAUUCCAACUUUAAAAUAUUGAUCGAUACUUUUUUCACCUUUGACUUCCCUAACCACAAAGUUUCAAGUUUGUGGUAGAUCCUUAAUUGAAUCAGACACUUCUUCUACUUUGGUUUCUGAUAAAUCUAAAGAGCAAAAGGGAGGUGGGACAUUAGGAAACUUCUUGAGACUAUAACAUCCGUUAAGACGAAGACUAUAUUGAUGAAGAGAUGCCAAAUGAUUGAGGCAAGGAAGUUCAACCAAACUUUUACAGUUAGAGCAACCAAGGAAUUCAAGGUUGAUUGCUCUUGAAAGAUUAGAUAUCUUCCUUAAAUUCACGCACCCAUCAAAGUAAAUUUUCCUUAAAUGAACAAGGUCCUGUACAGAAAAAAUAAUUGUUUUACUUUUAAGCAUCAACCACUUACUUUAGACCGUAAAAUAUGUAAAGGAAAUAAAUAAUUAUAAUACGAUAAAAAAUAAAAAUUUAUAUUUGAUGUAUCAAGGGUGAAAAUCCACCCACAGCUAAUAAAUCAAAUGAUGUCACUUAUCUAAAUAAAAUAAAUUCUUUUAUAUAUAUUUUUAAAAACCUUUAAAUAAAAUAUUAUCAUAUGAAUAUUUGAUACAUCAAAUUAUAAAUUAUUUUUUUCAAAAAAAAAAGAGUAUAAAAAUGCAUACCAUACGAUCAUCUUCAUCCCAAAGUUCAACCAAACUUUGACAGUAAGAGCAAUCAAGGAAUUCAAGGUUGAUGGCUCUUGAAAGAUUACAUAUCUUCCUUAUAUUUUUGCAUUCUGAAAUAUAAAUUUCCCUUAAAUUAACAAGCUCCUGUAUGGAAACAACAUUUGUAUUGCUUUGAAGCAUCAACUACUUACUUUAAGUAGUAAAAAAUGAAAAAGGAAAUAAAUAAUUAUAAUACUAAGAAAAAUAAAAAUUCAUAUUUGAUGUAUUGGGUGUGAAAAUUAACACACAAUUAAUAGAUCAAAUGAUGCCACUAAUUUAUAUAAAAUAAAAUAAAAUCUUUCAUAUUUCUUUUUUAAAAACUUUAAUUAAGAUGUCAACAUAUCAUAUGAUUAUUUGAUACAUUAAAUUAAAAAAAAUCUUAAAUGAAAUAAGUAUGAAAGUACACAUACUAUAUGAUCAUCUUCAUUCCAAAGUUCAACCAGACUUUCACAGCCAAUGCAACGAAGGAGUUCAAGGUUGAUGGCACCUGAAAGAUUAUGCAUCUUCCUUAAAUUCUUGCAAUAUGAAACGUCAAUUUCCCUUAGAUUAGUAAGGUUCUGUGCAAAAGAAAAAUAUAUAAAAAUAAUUAUAUAUCAUUGUCAAGUAUCAUCUACUUACUUUAGGCAGUAAGAAAUAAAAAGAAAAUAAAUAAUUGACAAGAUCCUGCACAGGAUGAGAACGAAAGUAGUUUCAUUACUUUAGAGCAUCAUCUACUUAUAUUAAGAUUAUCAAAAUAAAAAUUUGUAUUGGGUGUAUUAAUUCACCCACCAUUAAUAGAUGAAAUUGCUUCUUUUAGAAAAAAAAAAUAUAUAUAUUUAAAAAAAUUAAAUAAAAUGAUUUCACUUAUUCAAAUAAAAUAAAAUGUUUCAUAUUUAUAUUUUAAAAACUUUAAAUAAAUAUCAUAUGAUAUAUUAUUUGACACAUCAAAUUAUAAAUCCUCUUUCUCCUUAAAAAAACUUCUUAAAUGAAGAAAGUAUGAAAGUAUAUACCAUAUUGUCAUCUUCACUCCAAAGUUGUUCCAUGUUGCCAUGUAAUAGUUUCAACAUGACAAGAUUUUUUGGAUUAAAACUAGAUAAAGAUUUGAAAGGGUAAACAUCCCAACAGAGAAACCUUAACUCAUCAGGAAGAGAUAUACUCUCAACUUGAUUUGCAUAUAGCUUCUUAAGCCAUAACAUUUUCUUAGGAAAGCUGAUGUUGAUAUAUCUAAGCUUAUGCAUCUUCUCAAUAGCAGUAGCACAAAACUGUAGACUAUCAACUUCAGUCAUGUCUACCUUUAUUCCUUUAAUUAGAUCAGUCCCCUGAUAAAAAAAAAUAUUUAUCAUGAAUUAACACAAAGAAAUUUAUGUACAUUCCAUUAAAUCAGUCAUAAAAAAGUUAAUUAUAUUAGGAAACACUUUAAACUAACGCAUACCUUUUUUUUUUUUUGAAGUUUGAAUUUUUUUAAUCAAAAUGGCUUUUUAUAAUUAAAAUUUAUUUUAAUAUAUGAAACUUUGAUUUGUAAUCAAGUAACUCAGCUCUUGUGUAUGUAUGUGAUGCUAUUUUUGUCUUAAAGAUUAUUAUCAACAAGAAAAAUUGUUCCAAUGAUGUUGGGGGGUGUUAAUUUCCAAGUCAAGGUCUUCCAUUGGGACAAAAUUGUUAAGUAAAUAAAAUUCCAUUCUUUGAAUUUCUUUUUGGGUCCUAACAAAAAUAUUGACUUCUACACACUUUGUGAUUUGGGUCAAUUGAACUGAAAUUUCAUAUAAUUUUCUUUAAGAAGAAGCACUUUCAGACAAUUUUAAGUGAAUUGAACUUAAAUUUCCCACAACUUUAUAAUUUUCACUUUUUUCCCCUAAAUGAAAAGUUUUGGGAAUGAAGGGUGUUGUGUUUCUAUUUUCCUAGGUAAAAUAAUGAUAGAUUUUCUUUCUGCUUUGGGGGUUUCCUAUUUAAUCCUUUAUUUUGAGCACAGGUAAGGUGAGUUUGGUUAAAAAGACCUCUUUAGUUUCUUUCAAUUUUGGAAUCGAAUAAAUUGGUCACUCUCAAAAAAGAAAAUCAAAGCAAUUGAAUCAUGGUUAAUUUUAAAGGUGAGUAACUAAGGACAACUAAUCGUGAUGUUAACGUCUUUCGUCAAUUGUACAUAAUUUUGAUUGGUAUAACAAUAAAUUUAGCCUUCAAUGUUUCCAUUUUUUGUCAAUUUGGUCUUGGUUCUAAAAAAUCAAUAAAUUUAGUAUCAACAUUUACACAAAUGUUGUGGGCUAAAUUUGUUAAAUCAAGACAAAAUUGUAAAAUUUGAGGGGUAAAUUUGUUAUUAUACUAAUCAAAAUUAUGUAAGUUUGAUGGACAACAUUAAUGUUGUGCUUAAUUUACUUUAAUUGCUCACUUUCGAAAUUGAUGGAAUUUAAAUUGUUCUAAUUUUUUUAAGGGAGAUCAAUUUACUAAAUAUCAACCUUGAGAUAGAUUGAAUAGAUCUUUUACCAACAAAUAUGCUUGCUUACAUUUAUUUUAAACAUAGAAUCCAAUCAGUUUUCUAAUUAAACAUGGAUUCACCUAAACUGAUUAGCAAGUAGGAAUGAGCAAAAUUCAAUUCUAUUUGUAUUGGCAAGCAUGCAAUCUUUGAUUUUUUCAAAGAUGAAUGGUGUCAGAAAGUUGGCACCGAAAAUCUAAGCAUUUAAGGCAUAGAUUUUUGAGUUGAAAUUUGGCUUGGAAUAAUUGCAAUUUUGGUCCCUAAUUGUAUAGGGACUUUGCAAGUUGAUCGUUGAGCUUCAACUAUAAAUAGGCCUAGCUAUUUCUCAUUUUCACCAUCCCACAAAUGCCAUUCUCUACUUAAGGCAUUAUUCUCUCUCCUUAUUUGUAAAAUUUCACUUGUAUUUUGGAGUGAAAUAUAUUUGGUAGUGCCCGAGGACGUAGGCAAAAUUUGCUGAACCUUGUUAAAAUUCUAGUGUUCUUUAUUGUUUAUUUUGCAUAUUUUGUAAGUGUGAUUGUAGUGAUUUAUUGUGCUAUUAAAUUACGAUAGAGGGAUAUUCUGGCUAGGAAAGACCUGGGAAUUGAACUUAGUGUGAUUUUUUAGUACAAUAAUUUUACUCUUUUACACGCUUUCGCGCAACAAUUGGUAUCUGAGCUAGAUUCGUACUUGGGGAAUACGACCAUUUACGAUACUAUUUACGUAUACGAUAUUGUUCAUCCACGGCACUAUUCACGUAGACGGUACUGUUCACAUAAACAGUAGUUGGGAUCGAGGAGAAGAAUGGCAGAGGCAUCGUCAUCAACAAAGACUACCGUGACCAAUGCAAAAUUUGAAGUAGAGAAAUUUGAUGGUACAAAUAAUUUUGGUAUGUGGCAAUGUGAGAUCCUGGAUGUCUUAUGUCAGCAAGAGUUGGAUAUAGCUCUUGAAGAAAAACCUGACAAGAUGGAUGACAAGGAGUGGGCCAAGAUCAAUAGACAGGCGUGUGGUACAAUCCGCUUAUGUCUGGCCAAAGAGCAGAAGUACUCUGUCAUGAGGGAGACAUCAGCAAAGAAGUUAUGGGAUACACUGGAAGAAAAGUUUCUAACGAAAAGUCUUGAAAAUAGGCUUUAUAUGAAAAAGAAACUUUUUCGAUUCACGUAUGCACUCGGUAUGUCGAUGAAUGACCAUGUGAACUCAUUUAAUAAAAUUUUAGCAGACUUGCUAAAUUUGGAUGAGAAGUUUGAAGAUAAGACAAGGCAUUAUUGUUGUUGAAUUCUCUUGCCGAUGAAUAUGAUCAUCUUACCACCACAUUGCUUCAUGGGAAGGAUACGAUCACAUUUGAUGCAGUCUGCAGUGCGUUGUACAGAUCUGAGACUCGAAAGAAAGAUAAAAGAGAUCACAGAGAUACAACUGCAGAAGUCUUAACAGUAAGAGGUCGUUCACACAGCAACAAACCUGGUAGAAGGGGCAAGUCCAAAGGGAGACCCGCCAAAGAUGAAUGUGCUUUUUGUCGUGAGAAAGGGCAUUGGAAAAAGAAUUGUCCUAAGUUACAAAAGGGCAAGGCUAUUUCUAAUGCAUGUGUAGCGGAGCAUGAUGAGGAGUCAGACUUUAGCUUGGUUGGCAUGGCAAUGACAUGUCAUACAGAUGAGUGGAUAUUGGAUUCGGGAUGUACUUACCAUAUGUGUCCUAAUAAGGACUGGUUUUCUAGUCUUGAAGAACUAGAAGGUGGAGUUGUUUUUAUGGGCAAUGACAGUGCCUGUAAGACAAUGGGAGUAGGUACAAUCAAAUUAAAGAAUCACGACGGCUCAAUCCAAGUCUUGAUAGAUGUUCGCUAUGUACCUAGCUUGAAGAAAAAUCUCAUCUCAUUAGGGGCCCUAGAAUCUGGGCUCACAGUCACUUUGAGAGAUGGAUUACUAAAGGUAGUAGCUGGGGUAUUGACAGUGAUGAAAGACACUAGAAGAAAUAACUUUUACUAUUUAAAUGGAAGUACAGUUAUUGGAUCAACAUCAACAGCUUCUGCAAAAGAUGCAGAUUCAGAGGCUACCAGUUUAUGGCAUAGGCGAUUGGGACAUGCUGGUGAAAAAGCUUUGCAGACUUUGGCGAAGCAAGGCUUGUUGAAAGGUGCAAAUUCUUGCAAAUUGGAAUUCUGUGAACAUUGUGUUCUGGGCAAGCAGACGAGGGUAAAAUUUGGUUCAGCAAUUCACAAUACGGAAGGAAUUCUGGACUACGUUCACAGUGACGUGUAGGGACCUACCAAAGUGGCUUCUUUGGGAGGUAUGCACUAUUUUGUUACUUUUGUUGAUGAUUAUUCAAGAAAAGUAUGGGUGUAUCUAAUGAAAAGAAAAAGUGAAGUUUUGGAUGCAUUUCUGAAGUGGAAGAAGAUGGUGGAGACUCAGACUGGUCGAAAGGUCAAACGACUUCGAUCAGAUAAUGGUACUGAGUACAAAAAUGAUCCAUUUCUACAAGUAUGUCAAGAUGAGGGCAUUGUGCGACACUUCACUGUCCGGGAUACACCACAGCAGAAUGGGGUGGCAGAACGUAUGAAUCGGACUAUACUGGAGAAAGUUCGAUGUAUGUUGUCCAAUGCUGGAUUGGGCAAGGAAUUUUGGGCUGAGGCAGUUACAUAUGCGUGCCAUCUAAUCAACCGGUUUCCAUCAGCUGCAAUAAAGGGAAAAACUCCUAUGGAGAUGUGGACUGGUAAACCUGCUACUGAUUAUGAUUCUUUACAUGUUUUUGGUUCCACUGCAUAUUAUCAUGUAAAAGAAUCUAAGUUAGACCCAAGAGCAAAGAAAGCAUUAUUCAUGGGUAUAACUGGUGGAGUAAAAUGAUACCGUCUCUGGUGUCCUGAUACAAGGAAGAUUGUUUUCAGUAGAGAUGUGACUUUUGAUGAAUCAACCAUGAUGAAGAACAAAGAUUCACAAAAGGAUGACAAAACCAGUAGUACUUUGCAGCAGGUGGAGCUUGAAAAGGUUAAUGAUGAUCCAGCUAAUAUUGAAGAAACAAAUGAUGAAGAAGUUUUGACUCAAGAACUUCUACAGCAACAAGAUUCAAUUGCAUAUAGGAGGCCAAGAAGAGAGAUUCGUAAGCCUGCUCGCUUUGAUGAUAUAGUGGCCUAUGCACUUUCAAUUGCAGAUGAUGAUGUUCCUUCUACUUACACAGAAGUAAUAAGUAACCCUGAUAGUGUAAAGUGGAAGCAAGCUAUGAAUGAAGAAAUGCAGUCUCUUCAUAAAAAUAGGACUUGGGAGUUGGUGACACUGCCCAAGGGAAAGAAGGCAAUUGGAUGUAAAUGGGUAUAUGCAAAGAAAGAAGGAUUUCCUGGUAAAAAUGAAAUUCGAUACAAGGCUAGAUUGGUAGCAAAGGGUUACGCUCAGAAAGAAGGAAUAGACUACAAUGAAGUGUUUUCUCCAGUUGUGAAGCAUUCGUCUAUUCGGAUUUUGCUAGCCUUGGUUGCGCAAUAUGACCUUGAACUAGCUCAGCUUGAUGUGAAGACGGCUUUUUUACACGGUGAUUUGGAAGAGGAAAUCUAUAUGACUCAACCUGAUGGAUUCAAGGUUGCUGGUAAAGAAAAUUGGGUUUGCAAACUGAUGAAGUCGCUUUAUGGAUUGAAAUAAUCUCCGAGACAGUGGUACAAGCGAUUUGAUCAGUUCAUGAAAGGGCAAAGGUACACAAGAAGUAAAUUUGAUCAUUGCGUGUAUUUUCAGAAGCUACAAGUAGGAACUUUCAUAUACUUGCUCUUAUAUGUUGAUGAUAUGCUGAUAGCAUCUAAGAGCAAAGUUGAGAUUGAGAAAUUGAAGACUCAACUCAAUCUUGAAUUUGAGAUGAAAGAUCUAGGUGAAGCUAAGAAGAUUCUUGGCAUAGAAAUAUGUAGAGAUAGAGCUCAAGGCAGAGUUAGCUUGUCUCAGAAGCAGUAUUUGAAGAAAGUACUACAGCAGUUUGGCAUGAACGAGCAGACCAAACCAGUAAGUACCCCGUUGGCUUCUCAUUUCAAGCUUUCUGCACAACUAUCUCCUUCGACGAAUACGGAACAAGAAUACAUGUUACAAGUUCCGUAUUCUAAUGUAGUGGGUAGCUUGAUGUAUGCAAUGGUGUGUACAAGACCCGACAUUUCACAAGCAGUUAGUAUAAUGAGCAGAUAUAUGCAUAAUCCUGGAAAAGGACAUUGGCAAGCUGUGAAAUGGAUUCUACGAUAUAUUCUGAAGACCGUGGAUGUUGGAUUACUGUUCAAGCAGGAUACUACACUUGGUAAAGGUGUUAUUGGGUACGUUGAUUCUGACUAUGCCGGUGAUUUGGACAAACGAAGAUCAACCACCGGUUAUGUGUUUACACUUGCUGGAGGACCAAUAAGUUGGAAGUCUACACUACAGUCUACAGUUGCGUUGUCAACCACAGAAGCCGAAUACAUGGCUGUAACAGAGGCUGUAAAGGAAGCUAUUUGGUUACAAGGUAUGGUUAAAACCUUGGGAUUGGUUCAGGAGCAUAUUGACGUGUAUUGUGAUAGUCAAAGUGCUAUUCAUUUAGCAAAGAAUCAAGUCUAUCAUGCACGUACAAAGCAUAUCGACGUACGAUUCCAUUUUGUGCGGGAAAUUAUUGAUGAGGGGAAAAUUCGUCUUCAGAAGAUCAAGACUGCAGAUAAUCCCGCAGAUAUGAUGACCAAGGUGGUAACAACAAUCAAGUUCGAACAUUGUUUGAGCUUGAUCAAUAUUCUGGAAGUCUAACAGUUGAAGAAGGCACUAUCAAGUAUUGUUGUCAAAGGCAGAAAGAAUUGUGUGAAGAUAAGAUUAUCCUAAUCAAAUCUUCAAGGUGGAGAUUAUUGGCAAGCAUGCAAUCUUUGAUUUUUUCAAAGAUGAAUGGUGUCAGAAAGUUGGCACCGAAAAUCUAAGCAUUUAAGGCAUAGAUUUUUGAGUUGAAAUUUGGCUUGGAAUAAUUGCAAUUUUGGUCCCUAAUUGUAUAGGGACUUUGCAAGUUGAUCGUUGAGCUUCAACUAUAAAUAGGCCUAGCUAUUUCUCAUUUUCACCAUCCCACAAAUGCCAUUCUCUACUUAAGGCAUUAUUCUCUCGCCUUAUUUGUAAAAUUUCACUUGUAUUUUGGAGUGAAAUAUAUUUGGUAGUGCCCGAAGACGUAGGCAAAAUUUGCUGAACCUCGUUAAAAUUCUAGUGUUCUUUAUUGUUUAUUCUACAUAUUUUGCAAGUGUGAUUGUAGUGAUUUAUUGUGCUAUUAAAUUACGAUAGAGGGAUAUUCUGGCUAGGAAAGACCUGGUACUUAAGCGAUCUUCGUGAUCCACCUCCCUUUCCUGGGAAUUGAACUUAGUGUGAUUUUUUAGUACAAUAAUUUUACUCUUUUACAUGCUACCGCGCAACAAUUUGAAAAAAUAGAAAAAAAAUCGAAUUUCAAAUUAUUCGAAUUGAGUUAAUUGAGUUAAUCAAAUUAAUUGACUCAACUUGAUUUUCUUUCAAAUUUCGAGUUCAAUUCGAGGAGUUUUCGAAUUCUAAGAAUCCAAAUAAUUCGAAUAAAUCAAUUGCCCAAACAAAAUUAAGCUAAAUGAUGUCCACCACAGAUCCUAUGAAUCAAAACCAACCAAUAACAAGUCAACUGCCAAAAAGAAUUCAAGUAUGAAUCUUAAUGUCUCUUCACUGCAAUGCUCAAACAACAUGAGAGGCAGUAACAUACAAAGAAAUUUCAGCCCUAACAGAUAUGAUAAUCAAAAUCCAAGAUAAGGAAAUAUCAACUCCAAUGCCUCUACCAUGAAACUAACUCAAUCUAGUCUGAGAAUGAAAACUGUCAAAGGUUGCCUCCAGCUCCAUGUGUUCAUCUCACAAGUUUUGAGAUCUGUUGCAAAUUCUGGAUUUAUAUAAUCCCAUUGAUAAAUAUGGGAAAAAAAUAUUUAAGGAUGCUGAAAAUCAUCAUAUGAACCUAAAAUCAUAAUAAUAAGUCAAAGUCAAAGGUAACUUACUUCUCCACCAAGACUGAAUUGCCAGAACCUAAAAAGGGCCUCAAAAGAUUACUUUGCAUUUGUGUAGACAAAUCUGUUGACAACUUGCAUUUUCACCAAAUAUCAGUUCAAACACUUGUAUAAAGCAAGCAUUCAGUAAAACAAAUUGAAGCUCUUACAGCUCAGGUGUUCCUCCUUGUAUGGCUAAAGCUCCAAUUCAGCAGUGGCAUUCUCAAAGAUCUGUCAUUCCCUCGUCUUACAUCAACACAAAAGCAAAGGAUAUAAGAAAAACCUGUCUCACAAAUAACCCAUCUUUCUAAUGAAAGAAAAUGCAGCAAGUAUUGAGAUACCAGAUGACACCAAUGCUGGAAACUAAACAAUGAAGCUGAAUCGAGUCCACAUUUGGCCCGAUGAAUUAAAAAAACCAACCAAUAACAAGUCAACUGUCAAUAAGAAUUAAGUAUGAAUUUUAAUAUCUGAGUUUUGGUACCCACCAAAAUCCUCUAUGGAUAUUUUAACAACUCCAAAGCAGAAUCAUUUUGCUACUGUGUUGAAAUCUCUAGUUUCCGUUCAAUUUUCCUCCAAAUUAAUUAAUAUAUAUGGAGAAUUUCGUUCUUGGACAAUAUAUGCUAUAUCUACAAAACAACACAGACAUAACGGGGGAAUGAAGAUGAGAAAAAAUAAUAAUAAGCAACUAUCACAAACUAUUGAACAUAUUUCCAAUUUUAUGUUCACAAAUUAUGCUUUUAACAUUUACAAAGUGGAACUACAAGGAUUCAGUAUGGCAAAGCACCUUCUAAAAGACAAGUAAUUUAUAAAGCAGAGCAAGUUAGAUUCAUUCUGGUUGGUUUUAAUUAAUUAAAGCACUUCAUUUUCUGUCACUAAUUUAUAAGUUGAAAAUUUACUAUUAACAAUUGUGGAAAACAAAACUAUGGAAAUAUGAAAAAUGAAACGAAAAAACUGAAAAUUUUAUGAUAAUAUGAAAAAAUGAGAUGAAAAUGAAACCCCUACCUAUGCAUUUGGAUGACAUAAUUGAGAAGUUAAAACUCCUCAAAAGCAGAGCCAAAGAUGGAAAGAAAUACAAACUAUUUCAAUCUUUUAAGUCCUCCAUCCCCUUCUUCACCAUCAUGGCUAAAGCUUCUUUUGUUCCCAGCAACUCUCUUUUCAGUAGCAUCCACGUAAAAUACAUGAACACCACAUCUUUCCACCUUGUUAUAGUCUUCUUCUUCAUUAACUUCAUCAUCAUUGUCGAUGAUGUAGAAUUUAAAUGAUGCCUCCUCAUAAUUCUUGUCUUCUUCAACCAUGUCGUUGCUAGAUAGAAUAAACACGUGAUCACCGUUGUACUUAUUUGGCUCAGAACAAUCGAAGAAAGAUAUCUUACUUAUGUAGCUUUUAGAAUCACCACCACCGGCGGCUGUAAGGUGGUACUCACAAAUACAAUUAAGAUAUUUAAAACGAUGGCAGUGAGUGAGAUCAGCCACAAGGCAGAUAGCGAAAACCAAAAAUCUGCUCCCACUACCCCUAUUUGGGGCUAUCUUCAAACACAAGGAAGAAUUCAUUCUCUGAUACUUGAACUUAUCUGCAGAAAUUUUGUUUCCUGGGAAACAACAAAUCAAUCUUGGAAAGUCUUCUCGCUGGUAUUUCCAAUCAUAUCUUGCUGCCCAUUUCUUAGCUAGGGAUCCAAUUUUGAGCAUGGCAUUUUCCUCAAUGUUAUCAAUUGACUCUGGAUUCAAGUUGAUGCAAUUACAGAAUAGCAUGCCAAACAAAUCAUCACCUAACGAAUCAAACUGAUAUAAAUUUUGAUCUGCAAAGGAAACUUUUUCUAAUGAUGUGCAGUAUUGUACAUUCAAGUUUUGCAUAUAUGGUGGAAGCUCUGAGAGUAAUUUGAGGCUCUCGCAACGAUCCAUCCUCAUAUGGUUAAGGAUUUUAGACCUCAAGCUUGGCGUGGGAAAAUCGACAGUUGGAAACUCUCUGGAACCGAACAGGGUGAUAUUACACAUUAGCUUUUGAAUACUUGAGCCGCUCAUAUUUAAGUAUUGAAGAUUACUUAAAGAGUCUAACGACAAGGCAGCUUCUUCAAUUCCAGUUCCAGAUAAGUCUAACCAUGUUAAGCUCCUCGGGAUUUUUGGAAAUUCGACCAUUGGGCAUUCACUAAGAUUCAAUUCACUAAGGAGUUCCAACUUUGAAAUAUUGAUCGAUACUUUUUCUACCUUUGAUUUGCUCAACAACAAUCUUUCAAGUUUGUGGAGAUACUUAAUUGCAUCAGGUACUUCUUCUAUUUCAGUUUCUCGUAAAUCUAAAUAACAAAAGUGACUUGGGACCUGAGGAAACUUCCUGAGACUAUAACAUCCCUCAACGCGAAGCUUAUCCUCAUCACGAGAUGCCAAAUGAUUAAGGCUGGGAAGUUCAACCAAACUUUCACAGUAAGAGCAAUCAAGGAGUUCAAGGUUAGUGGCUCUUGAAAGAUUAGGUAUCUUCCUUAAUUUUUUGCAAUUUGAGACGUCAAUUUCCCUUAAAUUAACAAGAUUCUGUACAGGAAAAAAAUUAAAUGUCAUCUACUUACUUUAGGCAAUAAAAAAUGGAAAGGAAAUAAAUAAUUAUGAUACUAAGAAAAAUAAAAACUUAUACCCGAUGUAUUGGGCUUGAAAAUUCACCCACAAUUAAUAGAUCAAGUGAUGUCACUUAUUUAAAUAAAAUAAAAUCUUUUAUAUUUAUUUUUUUAAAAACUUUAAAUAAGAUGUCCUCAUAUGAUCAUUUGAUACAUCAAAUUAUAAAUCCUUUUUUUCCUUAAAAAAAUUCUUAGAUGGAGAAAGUAUGAAAGCACAUACCAUAUGAUCAUUUUCAUUCCAAAGUUGUUCCAUAUUGCCACUUCGUAAUAUCAACAUGACAAGAUUCUUUGGAUUAAAACUUGAUAAAGUUUUAAGGGGAAAAUAAUCCCAACAAAGAUACCUUAGCUUAUUAGGAAGAGAUAUACUAUCAACUUGGUCUACAAGAAACUUCGGAUUUCGGUAGCCGUUCUCAAUCUUUGAAUCAUAGAAGCAAAUAUAUUUAAGAUUAAGCAUGCUCUCAAAAACAGAUGGACAUAACUGCAGCUCAUCCAUUUGAAACAUGUCUAAUUUUAUUCCUUCAAUUGAUACGGUCCCCUAAUAAUGAAAAAACAUUUUAUCAAGUAUCAGUAUGUAAAGAUACAUUUUGCUUUCUUUUAAAAGCAAUGCAUUAAAUAAGUACUAACCCAGUAAACCCUUGAUAUUUUUUUUUUUGAAAUAAUAAUUAAAAUGAUUAACAUUUGAUACAAUAUAAAUAUAAACAAUUAAACUUUUAACACAUGAAAACAUAUAAUUAACUGAAUUUAUAUAUUUACAUGAUAUCACAAAUAAAUUUUAAUUAAAAUAACACGAAUAUAUAAAAUAAUAGAAAACACUGUAAAUACAAUUAGCGCUUACUUUAUUAUAUCUGAGCACUUGAUCUACAUCUUCAGGAAACCAUAACCUGCUACGCUUUCCCGGGUCUUCUUUACAUUCUUGGCGAACAAUGUCCUUGCCAAUCUCUUCAAGCAUGUCAUGCAUAGAAUAACAAUCUAUGCUAUCAAGUAAGCACUUGUCGACUAAGUUUCUUAUUCCACUCAUUGCACCCAUAUAAUAAUUACUUAGUAUUUUUUCUACAGUAUCCAUUUUUUCUCCUUUAAAGAAGCAUGCUAUGUCAAGAAAUAUAUUCUUUUCUAGCUCACGCAACCCAUCUAAGCUACUCUUCAAAAUAUGUGACAUUUUUGGCUCGGCAUAUUGCUUUAGACUAUCCACUUCGCUCUCCCACUCUUUUCUAGACUUUGUAUAUAGUUUAGAACCCAAAACUUUAAGAGCAAGUGGAUUACCUUGGGCAUAUCCUACAAACUUGCAUGAUAGAUCUUGAAAAUCAGCUGCGGGAUUCAACAACUUAAAUGCAAGUGUAGAAAAAAGUUGAAGAGAAUCAUUCUCAUUCAACUUCUUCACCUCAUAUAUGUGGUUAGCUCUUCCAUUUUUAAGCACCUGUCUAUCUCUAGAUGUUACAAUGAUUUUACUUUCUGGACCAAAAUGUUUAACACCCAUAAAUUCUAUUUGAUCUGGGUUACUAACAUCAUCAAGGACAACAAGUACUUUUUUAUUGUUCAACCUCUCUUGGUAAGGGUGUCCUAUGGAAGGGCUGUUAAUACAAAUUCCUUUUUGGUUUAAUAAUUUGGAAAAAAGUUCAUUUCGUAAAGAUUCAUUCCCUACAUUUUUUAUUUUCUCACUAACAUUUCGCAGAAACAAGUGGCUUUCAAAAUUUUGGCAGAUUUCACUAUACACAACAUCAGCAAGGGUAGUUUUGCCAAUACCACCCAUUCCCCAAAGUCCUAUUACACGGCUAUGCUCUUGCUCAAUCAGCCCCAAAAUUAUCUUUUUUUGAUCAUCUAUUCCAACCAAUUCUUCAGAAACACUUGUACAAUUGCUAUCCAACUCUUUUGAAAUAUAUUCAACCACAUCUUCAAUGUACUCUGUUUCAUAUCUAGAAAAUAGUUAAAAAAUCGACAGUCAAAAGAAAGAUAUUCGUAUUAGUCAAAUAUAAGGAGAUGAGAAUAUAUAUAUAUAUUGUUACCUAUCGGAUUUGCCUCCUAUAUGCCACCCUUUUAAUGCACCGACCUCUUGAAAUGCAGAUUUCCAUCGUUGUACUCUAUCAGCUGGUUGCUUUGAUUCAUGCUUUUGGAAGGAUGUCUUAAAAGUCCCACCAAUCUUUUGCACAUGGGAAGGAUUAACAUGGUAAAAGAUGGGAAGAACAAUAUAUUUGUCAGUAGGAUUGCGCUUGCGAUCCAUGAUGUCAGAAAGUUCACCUAAGCAUGAAUUUGAAGAAGCAUAGUCUUUAGAUAAAAUGAUGAUGGAGAGAAUUGAGGCCGCAAUUGCAUUCGAAAGUGCUGAUGAAAUUUUCUCCCCUUUCUUUAGUGUAUCGUCAUCGAAGAAGACAGUCCAUCCCUUGUCUUUCAAAGCUUGGAGUAGAUGAGCGGUGAAGUUAACGCGCGUGUCUUCACCUCUGAAGCUCAAGAAAACUUGAUGUUUCACUUGACGAGAAGAAGAUGAAGAAGACGCCAUGUAAGUGUAUGGACUGUGAGGUUGAGGAAAAAGAGAACAAAAUAAACUGAGGGAGCUUUGCUUUUGCUUCUAUUUUUGUAAUGGUAAGAAGAAAAAGUGUGUCAAUUAAAUGGGAAUGAGAUUGAAAAGGUGAAGCAUUGCGGAUGAGUUUUUACUGAUAAAAAUUUCAAUAUUUAAUCCGCUUAUCGAAUCUAAAACCUCCAUUAUCAAUAUACCAAAUAUUUUCUUAUUAAUUGAAUGCUAAAACUUAUCUAAAUAUAAGUUAAAAAUUAAGGGUUAUUUAGACUUUAAAGGCUUAUUUGGGGUAUGAUAAAAGUACAAGAGAUUAUUUAAAUGAUGCUAUAAAUCAUCUAUAAGAAAAAUAAAUAUUAAUUGAUUUUUGUAAUUAAACGUAUAACUUCAAAAAAAAAUUGUCACCAUUCUUGAAUUUCGUUUUGGGUUAUGAUAAAAUUUCUAAUAAAUUUCCUAACAAAAAUAUUGACUUUUAUACACUUUGUCAUUUGGGUCAUUGAACUGACUUUCAUAAGAAUAAUUGCCACUUUUAGACCAUUUUAGGUGAAUUCAACUUAAAUUUCCUACAACUUUCUCAACAAUAAUCGCCACUUUUUUCCCCUAAAUGGAAAGUCUUUGGAAGGAAGGAUGUUGUGUUUCUAUUUUUCUUGGGAAAUAAUGAUAGAUUUUCUUUGUGCUUUUGGGGGGUUUCCAUUUUAGUCCUUUCUUCUGAAAUAGGUAGGGUGAGUUUGGGCAAAAAUAUCUCUCCAAUCUCUUUCAAUUUUGAAAUUGAAUAAAUUGGUCUCUCUCAAAAAAAUCAAAGCAAUUUAAUCAUUCUUAAUUUUGAAAGUGAGCAACAAAGAACAAUUAUUCAUGACGUUAAUGCUUUUCGUCAAUUGUAUAUAAUUUUGAUUGGUAUAAUAAAAAUUUUAGCCAUGUUUACAUAUUUUGUCAAUUUGGUCUUAAUUCUAAAAAUUCAACGAGUUUAGUAUAAACAUUUACACAAAUAUUGCUGGCUAAAUUUGUUAAAUCAAGACAAGUGAUAUAAUUGUAAACUUUGAGGGGUAAAUUUGUUAUUAUACCAAUUAAAAUUAUUUACAUUUGAUGGAAAACAUCAAUGUUGUGAUUAACUAUCAUUAAUUACUCACUUUAGAAAUUGCUCCGAUUUUUUUAAGAGACUCCAAUUUGCUCAAUACCAAAAUUGAUCAAAGAGAUUGGAUAGAUUUUUAACCAACAAAUAUGCUUGCCUACAUUUAUUUUAAAUAUAGAAUCGAACCGGUUUUCUAAUUAAUGGUCUAUUUGUUUGUAUGUAAAAUGUUUUCCAUAACAUAUUUUCAUUGUUUUACCGUGUUUGUUUGGUGAAAAAUGAAUUAUUAAAGGAAAUCAUUCUUCAAAAAAAAUGUAAAAUCAAGACUUUUUCAAGGAAAAUAUCUUACCAAUUUUUUUUCCCGUAAGAUAUUUUCUAAACUAAUAAGACUAUAUUGACUAUCUUCACUGUCAAAAAAACAAAAAAAAAGGGAAGCUUUCAGAGCAACAAAAGGAAAGCUCUCUUCACUGUCGAAGAAAAUAGUCCCUCAUAUUAUAAUUUUAUAUUUUUACAAAUUAGUCCCUGGAAUCUAAAUUUUUACUAUUCUACAAUUUAAUUCCUCAAAAAUAGAUUUUAUUAUUCUACAGUUCAGUUCUAAACCUCUUUUUGUACAAUUCUGCAAAACAGUCCCUUCUCUAAAAUUUCUAGAUUUUAUAAUUUAGUCCUUACAAUUAAAAUUUUGUUUUGGUCCUAUUAUUAUUCCUAAAUUUAGAUUUUUAUUUUUAUACUUUAAAAUAGAAUAAUUUGAUCCUUUACUACAAUAAUAUCGUCAAUUAAUCAAAGUAAAUAUUACUAUUAAUUAUUCCAAUUGAAAUACUAACGUGAAUUUUUUAAAAAAACAUUGCUUCCAUCAUAAAGAUUUCAGCAUGACUAGCUAAUAUGGAAAUGCACAAUCAAUAUUCCAUUAUCGUUUUACAAAAGAGUGAUCAAUUUCCCUUUUGGAUGACCAAAUUAACAAAAAUAUUAGAGCAACCAAAAUAGGAAUGACCCCUAUUUGAAAUAACUAACGAGAUAAUAAUUUACCCAUAAAAGUUUAAGAGCUUAACUGAAUAAAGCUUAUGACUUAUUUAGUAUAGUAGUCUAAGCAAAUCAUCUAUAGGAAAAAAAAAGUUACUAGUUGAUUUUGUAGCCAAAUCUAGUUGAUGGAUAUUAAGUAAAUUUCAAAGCACAAAAUAUUGAUGCCCAAAUUAGCUUGGAUUAUUAUAAUAAUAUAAAAAUAGGACAUAUUUAGAAACAAAUUAAAAAGGUAAUCCUCUUUUAAUAAAUGUGAAAAAUAGGUCGUACACCGGCAUUAGUAGUGGAGCUUUUAUUUUAAUGCCACGAGUGAGAUUAAAAAAUUGUCUUAUAUUAAUUCAUUGAAUAUUGCAAAAAAUAUGCUACAAAGAUGUCAAGAAUCUUCUCCUUUUUCUUUUGUUUUUUAGCUGAAUUUACAAAGCAAAUCUGCAUAUUACAGUCAUACAUAUUGUUCCAAAAUGCAUAAGGAGAUAAUGCACCAAAUUAAGCAUGGAAACUCACUUUUUUGUUUUUGAUGAGGUGAUAAAGACUACAUUAAACUUAUUAAUAAAAUAUUUUUAUUGGCUGAGAAAAAGAAAAGGUUGCUUUUGCUUUUGACACCCAUUUCAAAAUGACUAAUAAACAGCACUUCAAAAUAUCAUCCAACCUUCUUUCUUUCCUCGAAGCUACAUAUGUAGGAAUUUGGAUAAAUCAAACCAGAACCACCCCUGGGCUGAAUUUUCAUGGAAGUUCCACCAAAUUUGCACAUCACAACCGUACAUAUAGCUUGUAAAAUGCAUAAGGAAAAAAGUAAGUUGAUAAUGCACCAAAGAAUGAAAAUUCUAAAUCACAAGCUAUUUGUACAGCAUGUGAUUCUGGUUGGUUUUGAUUAAUUAAAGCACUUCAUAUUUCUAUCAUUGGCCAUUAAUUUAAAAGUUGGAAAAUAAUAGUUUAUGUGUUACAACGUAAAUGUUGAGUAAAAUACUAUUCAACGUACCAAUAUCGGCACAUUUUCUAAAUAGCUCGGGUCUUGGGCUAGAUAGUUUGGCCUCGCUCAAAUUUGAUUAUUUCUUUUCUGUUGUUGUUUGCUGCUGUUAUAUUGUUGUUUCGUUACAAUUUUAUUAUUGUAUUGUUAAUAUUUUAUUGUUAUUGUUUGGAUAUUGAAUUUUUGGUUUUAUUGUUAAUUUUGCUACUAUUUUAAAACCAUUUGAUUGUUGAGUUGCAACCGUGUUAGUGUUAUUUAAGUAUAAAUAUUUAUUUUUAAAAAUAUAUUUUUAAUUUGUUGAGAAACAUUUAUUUUAAUAUUUUGUGUAUUUGAUAAAUUAUAUUUUUUAAAAUUAUCUUUACAUAAAAAUAAUCUAAAGAAAUUAAUACGGGUAGGUCAGCCCGAGCUUAGAAAACGGGCCUAAAAUUUUGCACUGGCUCGACUCAUGAUCAAGUCUAUAUGAACUUUAAAUAAUCAACUCAUUUAAUUUAUCCAACCCAAUAUCAAGUUUUCAUUGCAAAAAUAUUAUUUAUAUAAUUAAUUAAAAUAAAUUUAAUUCAUUGAUUCAAUUAAAUUAUUUUCUCAACUAAAUUUUAAUUUUAUUAAAGUCAUGAUAAUUUUAUCGUACUAGAACCUAUAAUUAAAUAAAUUUUGAGUUAAGGCACGUGUCUUCACCUCUCAAGGUUAAGAAAACUUAAUGCAUCAUUUGACAAGAAAAAGAUGAAGAAGAUGCCAUGAAAGUGUAUGGAUUGUGAGAUUGAGGAAGAAGAGAGGAAAGUACACAAAGGGAGCUUUGGCAUCCUAGUAUUAAAUGACAAUGAGAAUAUGAGAUUUAACAAAGGCAACGACUGGAGGAGAUUAGCUAAUUAUCUGAGUCAAGAAAAUUGUCACUCUCACACUUUCCAGAAAUGACAGUCUUCUUGAUUUGUAUAUUUUACCCACAAUAGUCAAGGUCUUCCAAUGGGACAAUGUUGAGCAAAUGGUUAAAUUCUUAAAAGAGUCCUUGAAUAGUUUACUUUUGUUGUACCCAAAUAAACCCCUAUGUUUUUAUCUGUGUUUAAAUUAGCCCUUAUUUCAAAUGACAUGUUAAUUUUAAACUAAGUUGGUGACGAGGAGACUUAUAAUCACCAUUUAAUAUAUUUUAUUUUGUGUUUAUUGUUGUGCAAAGUUUAAUUAUUAUUGUUAAUUUUUAAAAACCAAGUUUAACUUAAAUCGUUUGUUAGUUAAAAGGAUAAUAAAUCUCGUAUUGCUUAAGAACAAAGCACAAAUUGGGAUUAUGAAUCUAUAUAAAAGCCCAUAUUUCACAUUAUUUAGAAAAACAAAGGCAAAAAGAUUUUGAGUUUAUAUAAAGAACCAUAUUUUACGCCUUAACUCUAUAUAUUAGCCUUCUGGUGAUGUGGACUUUGAUGAAGAAGAAGGCAUGAAAGAGUAUUAAAAGGGAGUUUUGACCAGCAAGAAAACUUGUUCCAAAUGACGAUGAUGAUAAUGAUGGGUGUUAAUUUCCAAGUCAAGGUCUUCCAAUGGGUUUUGACCAACAAGAAAACUUGUUCCAAAUGACGAUGAUGAUGAUGGGUGUGUUAAUUUCCAAGUCAAGGUCUUCCAAUGGGAGACUAAAACUUUUCUAGAUACAAGUUAAAAAUUAAAAUUAAUUUAUUUGGAUAACAAAUAAAGUUUAAAGGCUUGUGUGGGGUAUGAUGAAAGUACACAAGAUUAUUUAGAUAAUGUGAUAAAGGUUAAUGGCCUAAUUAAUAUGUUAGUAUGAGUAAAUCAUCUAUACGAAAAUAUAUAUUAGUUGAUUUCGUAACCAAACGUACAACUUCAAAAGCAAUUGUUACCAUUCAUGAAUUUUUUUUGGGGUUGUGAUGAAAUUUCUUACGAAUUUCCUACCACUUUCUUGAAGAAUAAUUUUCACUUUUUUUCCCUAAAUAAAAAGUCGUUGGAAGGAAGGGUGUUGUGUUUCUAUUUUCCUAGGUGAAAUAAUGAUAGAUUUUCUUUGUUAGUCCUUUCUAACAUAGGGAAGGCAAGUUUGGGUAAAAUGACUUCUUUAGUCUUUCUUAAUUUCAAAAUUGACUAAAUUGAUCCCUUUAAAAGAAGAAAAAUUUAAUCUUUGUUAAUUUUGAAAGUGAGCAACACAUAAAUUUUGAAAAUUGAAUAAGGACAUUUAACUACAUCGUUAAUGUCUUCUAUCAAAUUCACAUAAUUUUGAUAUUGAUAUCAAAUUCACAUAAUUUUGAUAUUGAUAUAACAAUAAAUUUAGCCCUUCAUGUUUGCAUUUUUGUCAAUUUGAUCUUGAUUCUAAAAAAUCAACAAAUUUAGCAUUAACAUUUACACAUUUACACAAAUGUAACAGUUUGAAUUUGUUAAAUCAAGACAAAUUAAACAUGAAUUCACCUAAACUGCUUAGCAACUGAUUUAGAGCUUAGAUCAAUAGGAGAUACCAUUGUUAUAGAAUAGUAAGUCUUUAAAGCAAAUAAAUAUUUGGAUUUGCCUACCCUUGAGAGCUUAUAUGUACUUUGAUCUCUUGUGUGAUAUUUAGUAAGUCUUUACAGUGUCUAAUUAUUUAGAUAUUUGAUGGGUUUCUAUUGCUCUGCAAGAAAAUGAAAACUUGAGCUUACCCAAUUAUCUAUCACGCACAUAUGUGCGUAUGUACCUUACAAACCCAUCAGAUUCUAUCUUUUGAAAAGCCUUUUAACUCUGCUGCCUAUCAUCAUAAUUUUACAAUCUAAUGAAAAUGAUUAAGUUUAAUACAAUGAAGUUUACAAUCAAGUGGAAUAUAUUUGAUUAAACAUCGUUUGAAGAUCAUAUAAAAUAAAGGAAACAAAGUGUAAACCUUAAAAUAAAGCCUCAAUGCCUUCAACUGCUAACUUGAGUCGGAGCUUCCAAGCAGCACGUAAAACAAAAAACAAUAAUACAACAUAAUGUAUAAUGUCAAUAAAUACAAUGACAUGAACAUCAAAAUCCGAUCCACCCUGUCCUUGGCUGAUAUGCCUUGGCAAGACAUUUACGAAAAUCAAUAUCUUUCACUUGAAGGAUCAAUUGAUUAGCUCGGAUACGUCCCCAAAAGUAUUCGAGGUUGAAUUGAUACACAAUGAAACUGUCAUGCUCUAGUUCGAAGCUUCAAGCACAUUAUAAUAGCUCGAAUCACAGCCACGUUUUAUGACUGCUGGAAUUCCGGCACCCCCUUAACAUCAUUCUCCCAAAACAGUGACUGUAAAUUCACAACGAACGAUCACCGUAUGCAGCAAAUGGUUAUAGAAAAUCGCAUCGUUUGUUUCAAGACACAAACACGACACUGCAACCGCAUAACAUGUUCAGCUAAGAUCAAACACCUAUAGAUUUGUGUAAAUAAUGCAAUAUAAAAUAAUCAGAGUAGUAUAAUUUGUGUUCUCUUGUAGUAAAAUCAUAGUUUAGGAUUAGAGAAAGUGACUGUAAAGACAAAGUUUCGAAGCUCAUAAAAAUGAAUGCAUGAACCAAAUGGAUUAAAUCCAAAUUAUAUGAAGAACAUAAGGUGAUAGAAUAGUUAAUGCUUAGUGACUAAAGUCCCUGAUUGCCAGCUCCAGUAUUCAUCCUUUCUAUCCAAAAAGAGAGUAAAAAUCUGGAAUUUUAAUCACAAAAAUCAAAUCAAAGUUCAAUCUCUGAUAAUCUAAAAUACAAAAAAAGGAAAAUUAAUUCAAAUUUCAGCCCAAACUGAUAUGAUAAUGAAGUCAAAUGGCUCUACCUUGAAACCAACUCAAACUAAACCCAAAUCAUUUGUUUUUAAAAAGCAGAUGGCCAUGAGGGUUGUAAAAGAUCACAAUGAAACAAAGGUAAUUAAGCUCACAAGGAAGGCUAAAUUGGCAAGAGCAUAUGGCUCCUCAAAAGCUCCAAUGUUGGUGCAAGAGGCAGCAAUAGGCUAUUUUGUAUCUUGCUUGAAUAGCAAGCCUCGAGCCUUGGUGAAGAAACAAACUCAGAAGCAGAAACAGAAAAUGAAACUAGCUAGUGAAUAACAGAAAAGAGAGAAGAAAAUUUGAAUGAAAAAUGAGCUGAUCUUUUUUCAUUAACACAUCAACAAGGCAUUAAGCCAUUACAUAUAUCAGUCAACAAGUAAAACAAACAAGUAAUCACCUAAUCAACUACCUAACUCCACUAAUUUGCAUUGAAACUUACAAGAUUAGCUUGUACAACUUGCAUUGCUGACUUUUCAGUCAAUCAAUAUCAAAACAUUUACCUACUUAGUUCAACAUGAACUAGAUUACAAAACAAUCAAAAUGGAACUAAAAACAGCAAGUGGAUUGGCAGCUUCAAACUUCAGUUGCUGCACACCAUGGCACCACUGCUUGCUGCUAUUUCUUCGAGCAUGACCACCUUUGUAUGUCGUGCAUGGCCACCUUUGCAUGGGAACUAAACUUAACACUCCUCCUUAGUUUCCAUGCUAGUAACACCUAAUUCCCUUUUGAAUUUAACAAAUUUAGACACAUUGAGUGCCUUUGUGAAGAUAUCAGCAAUUUGCACUUCUGAAUUGCAAUGAAUCAGCUCGAUUUCAUGAGCUUGUUCCAUCUCCCUUAUAACAUGCAACUUAAUAUUGAAGUGCUUGGUUCUGCCAUGAAAAAUGGGAUUUUUUGCAAUUGCAACAGUAGAUUUGUUGUCACAAUAAAUCUCUGUUGCCUCCUUUUGGUUUUGGUUUAAAUCAGCCAAGAUUUUUCUAAGCCAUAUGGCUUGAUUCACAGCAGAUGCAGCAGCAACAUAUUCAGCUUCUGCUGUUGAUUGUGCCACCAGACUUUGUUUCUUAGAACUCCAGCAAAACAUGCCUGAGCCAAGACUAAAUGCAUAUCCGGAUGUGCUCCUCAUGUCAUCACUCGAUCCAGCCCAGUCACUAUCAACAUAGCCUAUCAGCUUCAUGUUUUCAGCCCUUUUGAACAAUACACCAUGAUCAAUGGUGCCUUUGAUGUAUCUUAGCACUCUUUUAGCUGCUCGAAAGUGCUGAUCAUUGCAGCAAUUCAUGUAUCUCGAUAGCACACUAACAACAAACAUGAUAUCGGGCCUUGUUGCAGUCAAAUACAACAGACUACCAAUGAGACUCUUGUACAUGGUCUCGCAAAUUGGUUCACCACUCCCUUGCCUCGAAAGCUUCACUCCAACAGCCAUUGGUGUGCUUGUUGGCUUGCAGUUCUUCAUAGANNNNNNNNNNNNNNNNNNNNNNNNNNNNNNNNNNNNNNNNNNNNNNNNNNNNNNNNNNNNNNNNNNNNNNNNNNNNNNNNNNNNNNNNNNNNNNNNNNNNNNNNNNNNNNNNNNNNNNNNNNNNNNNNNNNNNNNNNNNNNNNNNNNNNNNNNNNNNNNNNNNNNNNNNNNNNNNNNNNNNNNNNNNNNNNNNNNNNNNNNNNNNNNNNNNNNNNNNNNNNNNNNNNNNNNNNNNNNNNNNNNNNNNNNNNNNNNNNNNNNNNNNNNNNNNNNNNNNNNNNNNNNNNNNNNNNNNNNNNNNNNNNNNNNNNNNNNNNNNNNNNNNNNNNNNNNNNNNNNNNNNNNNNNNNNNNNNNNNNNNNNNNNNNNNNNNNNNNNNNNNNNNNNNNNNNNNNNNNNNNNNNNNNNNNNNNNNNNNNNNNNNNNNNNNNNNNNNNNNNNNNNNNNNNNNNNNNNNNNNNNNNNNNNNNNNNNNNNNNNNNNNNNNNNNNNNNNNNNNNGGAGAGUAUUUGAUGAACAAAAAUGAUUCAUUAUGGAGAGUAUUUGAUGAACAAAAUGAUUCAUUCAUUUUUUGAAUAAUGGCAUAAUGCCAAUACAUAUAACCAAGCACUAAGCUUGUCAAAAAAUAGUAAGUAAUUACCUAAACAUUACUACCUCCACUAAUUACAUAGAAACUUGAAAUUUAAACUUGUAAAUUGGAACAAAGCUAUGUUUACAGCUCACACUCUAGCUAAGCACAUCAAUCAUAGACCUAACUUAGUUAGAAAUGAACUAAGAUAUAUUUCAUUAACUAAAGUUUAACAAAUGAACAAAAUAAGCUUGCAUCAGCAGCUCCUGCAUGGCUUGGUCUUCUUGCUUUUGAGUGUUUGCUGCAUGCUGACCAACUUCAUCACUCAUCCUUGGUUAGCAUGGUACAAACACCAAAUUUCCUUCUUAGACACUCGAACCUUGUGACAUUAAGGGCUUUAGUUAAAAUGUCUACAAGUUGAUCCUCUGAAUUGCAGUGAAUCAACAUCACCUCCUGUGCUUGCUCCAUUUCUCGAACAACAUGCAAACUUAAUGCUAAAAUGCUUUGUUCUUCCAUGGAACACUAGAUUUUUGGCAAUUGCAACAGCAGAUUGGUUGUCACAGAAAAUUUCUGUUGCUUCUCUUUGCUGAACAUUCAAGUCAAUCAAGAUUUUCCUUAGCUAAACGGCUUGGUUGACAGUACUUGCUGCUGCCACAUACUCUACUUCAACAGUAGAUUGAGCCACCAGGCUUUGCUUCUUCGAGCUCCAGCAGAACAUGGCUGAACCAAGGUUGAAAGCAUACCCUGAGGUGCUUUUCAGAUCAUAUAUCGAGCCAGCCCAGUCACUAUCAGUGUAGCCUACCAGCUUCAAAUUUCCUUCUUUGUUGUAUCUCAGACCAUAGCCCAAAGUACCCUUGAUAUACCUGAGCACUCUUCUUGCAGCCUGAAAAUGUUUCUCAUUGCAGCAAUGCAAGAAUCUUGAGAGCAAUCCUACAGCAUACAUUAUGUCUGGUCUAGUGGCAGUUAAGUAUAGCAAGCAACCAACUAGACUUCUGUAGGUAGUUUCACAAACCUUCUCAAAAUCACCUUGGCUUGAUAGCUUCUCUCCAACAGCAACAGGUGUCUUAGUUGCCUUGUUGUUUUGCAUGGAGAACUUAGUCAGAAUCUUUGUGGCAAAGCUUUUCUGACUUAGGAAUAUCCCAUUCUGAUUUUGUGACACCUCCAUUCCAAGAAAAUAGGACAUCUCUCCUAGAUCAGACAUUUCAAGCACCUCUUGCAGGUUGGUCUUGAAAUCGACCAGCAUUGUUUGAUCUUCUCCUGUCACCAGCAGGUCAUCAACAUACAGGGACAUAAUGAGCUGUGUUUGUGCCCCUUUCUUCUUAACAUACAAUGUUGGUUCACUCUUGCUUCGAUCGAAUCCCAAAUAAAUCAAGUAGCCAUCAAUUCUGCUAUACCAGGCCCUUGGAGCCUGUUUCAAGCCAUACAAGGCUUUCUUCAGCUUGUACACCAUCUGCACCUUCCCAGCUAUUUCAAACCCCAGUGGUUGCUCAACAUAGAUAUCUUCCUCAAGAAUUCCAUUGAGAAAGGCUGACUUUACAUUAAGUUGGAGAAUUUUCCACUGCAUUUGUGCAGCUAAGGCAAUCAACAACCUUAUGGUGUCAAGCCUGGCCACUGGUGCAAAGGUCUCCAGGUAGUCCAGGCCAUAUUUCUGACUGAACCCUUUGACAACCAACCUUGCUUUCAACUUGUUCAAGCUUCCAUCAGCAUUCAAGCUUGGCUUUGUACACCCAUUUCACUCCAAUAACCUUCCUUUUGACUGGUCUUUCAACCAAUUCCCAAGUCUGGUUCUUCUCAAUCAUGCUGAUCUCCUCAGCCAUUGCCUUCUUCCAUCCUUGCUGAGUUUCAGCCUCCUCAAAGCUACUUCGUUCAGCUAUGGCUACAUGAGCCCUUUCAUAAAUCUCAGCCAAUGGUCUUGUUCCCCUGACUGGUUCAUCACUAAUGUCCAUUUCAAGACCAUUUUGGUCUGGCUCAGCUUGAUCUGCUGCAAGUUCUUCUGAAACUUCCUCAGGUUCAUGUCUUUCCCAGUUCCAACAUAACCUUUCAUCAAAUACCACAUCCCUGCUGACUGACACUUUGUUUGUUAAAGGAUCCAAGAUCCUAUAGCCCUUCUUGACAGUGCUGUAGCCUACUAAAAUACCAGGUCGAGCCCUUUCAGACAACUUGUCCCCUUUAACAGUAGGUACAUGUGCAUAACAAAUGCAUCCAAAGACCUUCAGAUGAGCCAGUGAUGGUUUGAAUCCAAACCAGGCCUCGAAUGGAGUCUUUUGAGCCAAAGCCUUUGUUGGAAGCCUGUUUUGAAUGUAGGUUGUAGUGUUAACUGCCUCUGCCCAUAGAGCUUUAGGCAGAUUCUUCUGAAUCAUCAGGCACCUAGCCAUAUCCAUCAGGCUCCUAUUCUUUUUUUCACUUACUCCAUUUUGAUGGGGUGUAUAUAUGUUGGUAAGCUGAUGUUUAAUGCCUGUCUUAUCACAGAAGGCUUGGAACUAAGAUGAAGUGUACUCAAUCCCAUUAUCAGACCUUAUGGUCUUCAGCUUGCAACCUGUUUCAGUCUCAGCAGUAGUCUUAAACUUUAAAAACACAGAGGCCACCUCUGAUUUUUGUUUCAAGAAAUAAAGCCAGCAAUAUCUCGAGAAAUCAUCAAUGAACAGUAUAAAAUACCUGUUUCGACUAAAUGGCUCAGUCUUCAUGGGGCCACACAAAUCAAUAUGCACCAGUUGCAGUCUUUCAGAGGCUCUCCAGGCUUGAUUCGAGGGAAAUGAAAGUCUGGCCUGCUUGCCUAGCUGCCACACUUCACACACCUCCUGGUUUUGGACUGAAUUUAUGAAAUUUUCAUUGAAACCACUCCUGCACAUGUGCUCCAUUGAUUUGUAGUUGGCAUGACCAAGUCUUUGAUGCCGAAGCUUGGAUUCAUCUGUUGUAGCCAUGUAAGCAAUGUCUGAUUCCUUUGUCCAGUCAACCACAAAGCUUUUAUCAGCCAUAGGGACUGCCAUCAGCUUGGAUCCACUUGGAUCACUGAUUUGGCACUGAUUAUCCUUGAACACCACAGAAUACCCUUUCUCCAGCAAUUGAGCUAUGCUGAGCAGGUUUCUGUCGAUUUUAGGCACCAAAAGCACAUUUGAAAUAACUUUGGCACAUGUGGGAGUGCAUAUCAGCACAUCACCCUUGCCUUCAGCUUUUAUGAAGUGGCCAUUAUCAAUUUUAACUUUGGUUCUGUAGCUUCUCUCCAAUGACUUGAAUAUUGCAGCAUCAGGUGUCAUAUGGUUGGUGCAUCUACUGUCUAGGAGCCAAACAGUUGAGAGCCUUUUUUGUUCAGCUGAACAUGACACAGCAAAGACUUGCUCCUCUUGGUCACUAUCUUCCUUGGCUACUCGAGCCUCAGCUUUCAUCUGUUGAGACUGGUUCUGUCUUGGUUUGCCCUUACUUUUGUAGACCCUUUCAACAUGACCCUUCUUUUUGCAAUGUUGGUAUACAGCAUCUGGAUUGAACCAACAAUUUUUCUUCUGGAUGACUAGCCCUUUUGCAGUGCUUGCAAGUCUGACCUUCUUUUCUUGCAGCAUCAUACCUUGGCUUGUCUCUCCAAGCCUUCUUGCCUUUGUAGGCGGUAUUUAUUUUUGCCUGAAAGGCACCUUCUUGGUACUCCUCCAGUCUGCUUGCUCUCCUCUGCUCUUGAACAUAUAGAGCAUUGAUCAACUCUGUAAAAGGAAUGCUGGUCAGGUCCCUUGAGUCUUCGAGGGAUGAGAUUUUUGCCUCAUACCUCUCGGGCAAAGUUGAAAUAACCUUUUCCACUAUCCUAGCUUCAUUAAACUGCUAUCCAAUGAGCCUAAUGCUGUUAACUACAGCCAUAAUCCUGUCAGAGUAUUGCUUGACAGUCUCUUCUUCCUUCAUCUUCAAAUUCUCGAACUCCCUUAUCAAAUUCAACAACUGUUGCUGCCUUGUCCUCUCUGUCCCUUGAAACUCUUCUUUCAACUUGUCCCAGGCCUGUUUUGGUGAUUCACAAGCCAUAAUCCUUGUGAAAAUCACAUCAGACACUGAGUUCUGGAUGCAAGACAUGGCCUUGUGCCUCUUGGUCCUCUCAUCAGCAUGCUGCCUGAUCGGAGCCACUGUUGGAUUGGCUCUAAGUGGCUCUGGUUCAACAUCAGAGUUGACCACCUCCCAUAGAUCGAAAGCCUGUAGGUAGGUCUUCAUUUUGACCACCUAUAUGUGAUAGCCUUCUCCAUUGAAGACUUGUGGUGCAGUUGGUGAAAAGUUUGAUGAAGCCAUUCUUUGAAUACCAGGUCCCUUAAGAAAUAUGCUUUAGAUACCAAUUGUUGGUGUUAGAACAGAAUUAGACAGGCUCAGCUUGUGUCUUGUGCAAUAAGCCUCGAUGCUUGCUGAGCAAACAAACGAAUUCGAGCAGAAGAGAAGAAGAAAAACUAAGGAAAAAAUGGAGAGUAUUUGAUUAACAAAAAUGAUUCAUUCAUUUUUUGAAUAAUGGCAUAAUGCCAAUACAUAUAACCAAGCAUUAAGCUUGUCAAAAAACAGUAAGUAAUCACCUAAACAUUACCUACCUCCACUAAUUACAUAGAAACUUGAAAUUUAAACUUGUAAACUGGAACAAAGCUGUGUUUACAGCUCACACUCUAGCUAAGUACAUCAAUCAUAGACCUAACUUAGUUAGAAAUUAUCUAAGACAUAUUUUAUUAACUAAAGUUUACAAAAUGAAAAAAAUAAGCUUGCAUCAGCAGCUCCUGCAUGGCUUGGUCUUCUUGCUGUCAAGUGUUUGCUGCAUGCUGACCAACUUCAUCAAUACCCUUAUCAAGAGAGGCUAAAUAAUAAAUAAGUACUUCUUGUCCUUGAUGAUGUUAGUGACCCAGACCAAAUAGAUUUUAUGGGUGUCACAUAUUUUGGUCCUGAAAGUGAAAUUAUUAUAACAUCUAGAGAUAGACAAGUACUUAAAAAUGGAAAGCUAACCGCAUAUAUAAGGUAAAGGAGUUGAAUGAGAAUGAUUCUCUUCAACUUUUUUCUACAUUUGCAUUUAAGUUUUUAAAUCCUGCAGUUGAUUUUUGAGAUCUAUCAUGCAAGUUUGUAGAAUAUGCCUAAGGUAGUCCGCUUGCUCUUAAAGUUUUGGGUUCUGAACUAUAUACGAAGUCUAAAAAAGAGUGAGAGAGCAAGGUGAAUAAACUAAAGCAAUGUGCAGAAUUAAAAAUUUCACAUAUUUUGAAGAGUAGCUUAGAUGAGCUAGAUGAUGAAGAAAAUAAUAUAUUUCUUGACCUAGCAUGCAUCUUUAAAGGGCAAGCCAUGGGUUAUGUAGAAAAAGUUCUAAGUAAUUGUUAUAAGGGUGCAACAUGUGGAAUAAGUAAAUUGGUCGACAAGUGUCUACUUGAGAACAAAUAUGGAUGUGUUUUUAUGCAUGACAUGGUUGAAGAGAUGGGCAAGGACAUUGUUAUGCGAAAAUUUGAAUGCCCUAGAAAGCGAAGUAGAUUAUGGAGUUGUGAAGACAUGGAAUAAGUGUUCAAAUAUGAUAAAGUAAGUGUUAAUUGCAUUUAUUUUCUAUUCACUCUUUGGUAGGUUUAAUAGAUGUUGUUGUGUACCAUGUAUUAUCUUUUUUAAUUAUUAUUUCAAAAAAUAAAUUAUUUAUUUCUUACCAAAAACAUAAUGACCAAAUGUCUUACGAUACAAUAUGGAAUUUUGUUAAAAGUUUCUUGGGUUAGUUAAAUAUCUAAUGCAUUUUUAUGAGUGAUUUAAUGGAAUGUCGAUAAAUUUCUUUACGUUAAUCUAUGAUUUUUUUUUAUCAGGGGUCUGACUUUAUUAAAGGAAUAAAGUUAGAUGUAACUCAAACUGGUAACCUACAAUUUUGUGCUACCGAUUUUGGGAAGAUGCCUAAGCUUAGAUAUAUCAACAUCAGGUAUUUUGCACAUACUUUAUGGAAACCUCCACCCCAAUAUGCAAACCAAGUUGAUAGUAUAUGUCUUCUGGGUGAGUUAAGGCUUCUCCAUUGGGAUUAUUUUCCCUUCAAAACUUUAUCAAGUUUUAAUUCAAAGAAUCUUGUCAUAUUGAUAUUACGACGUGGUAAUAUAGAACAACUUUGGAAUGAAGAUGAUCAUAUGGUAUGUGCUUUCAUAUUUUCUUCGCCUAAAAUUUUUUUAAAGAAAAAAAGUAUUUAUAAUUUGAUGUAUCAAAUAAUAAUUUGAUGAUAUCUUAUUUAAAGAUUUUAAAUUUAUUUAAAUAAGUGACAUUAUUUGAUCAAGUAAUUGUGGCUUUUACGCCCAAUACAUCAAAUAUAAAAUUUUAUUUUUUAGUAUUAUAAUUAUUCAUUUCCUUUUCAUUUCGAUGAUGCUUAAAAGUAAUACAGUUAUUUUUUCUGUACAGGAUCUCGUCAAUUUUAAGGAAGAUACCUAAUCUUUCAGGAGCCAUCAACCUUGAACUCCUUGAUUGCUCUUUAUGUAAAAGUUUGGUUGAACUUCCAUGCCUCAAUCAUUUGGCGUCUCUUCAUCAUGAUAGGCUUUACCUUCAGGGAUGUUAUAGGCUCAAGAACUUUCCUCAGGUCCCAAGACACUUUUGUUCUUUGGGUUUAUUAAUAACUGAAUUAGAAGAAGUGCCUCAUUCAAUUGAGCAUCUCCACAAACUACAGAGAUUGUCGUUGAGCAAGUCAAAGGUAAUAAAAGUAUCGAUCAAUAUUUCGAAGUUGGAACUCCUUGGUGAAUUGGUUCUUAGUAAUUGCCCAAUGAUCAAAUUUCCAGAAAUCCCAAAAAGCUUAACAAAAUUAAACUUAUCUAGAACUCAAAUUGAAGAAGUAUCGUUGCCUUUCGACUCUCUAUGUAAUCUUCAGGACUUAAAUAUGAGCGGCUCAGCGGUCAAAAAUGUAUCAAUCAAGUUGGAAUCCCUUCAUAAACUGAAUCUUAGUGAUUGCCCGAUGAUCAAAUUUCCAGAAAUCCCAAGAAGCUUAAUAGAAUUAAAUUUAUCUGGCACUCAAAUUGAAGAAGUGUCCUUACCUUUUGACUCUCUAUGUAAUCUUCAGAUCUUAAAUAUGAGUGGCUCAGCAGUCAAAAAUAUAUCGAUCAGGUUGGAAUCCCUUCGUAAACUGGAUCUUAGUGGUUGCCCAGUGGUCCAAUUUCCAAACGUCCCAAGAAGCUUAACACAUUUAGAAUUAUCUCGCACUCAAAUUGAAGAAGUGUCAUUCCCUUUCGACCCUUUAUGUAAUCUCGAGUACUUAAAAGUGAGAGGCUCAACGGUCAAAAAUGUAUCAAUCAAGUUGGAAUCCAUUCGUCGACUGGAUAUUAGUGGUUGCCCAAUGGUCGAAUUUUUAAAAGUCCCGAGAGGCUUAAUAUGGCUAAAGUUAUCUAACACUCAAAUUGAAGAAGCGGCCAUGUCUAUAGACACUUUAAGUAAUCUUAAGGAGUUAAAGAUGAGCAGCUCAAGUAUUCCAAAGCUCCAAUGUAAUAUCUCCCUGUUCGAUUUAAGAGAGUUUCCCACUGUUGAUGUGCCCUCACCAAGCUUGAGGUCUAAAACCCUUAGGUAUAUGUGGAUGGACCGUUGCAAGAGCCUCAAAUUACUCUCAGAGCUUCCACCAUAUCUGCAAGGCUUGAGUGUACAUGACUGCACAUCAUUAGAAAAAGUAUCCUUUGCAGAUCAAAGUUUAUAUCAGUUUGAUUCUUUAGUUGAUGAUGACAAUUACAAUGUCUUUUGCAUGCUAUUCUGUAAUUGUUUCAACUUGAAUCAAGAGUCAACUAAUAACAUUGAGGCAAAAGCCCUGCUCAAAGUUGGAUCCCUAGCUAUGAAAUGGGCAGCAAGAUAUGGUAGGAAAAAACGGCGUGAUAACUGUCGAAGUUUGAUUUGUUGUUUCCCAGGAAACAACAUUUCAGGAAAUAAGUUCAAAUGUCAGAGCAUGAAUUCUUCCUUAAGUUUGAAGAUAGUUCCAAAUUGGGGUAGUGGGAGCAGAUUUUUGGUUUUUUCUAUCUGCAUUGUGGCUGAUCUCACUCACUGCCGUUCCAUUAGUUAUGUUGGAUGUAUUUGUGAGUACCAACUUACAGCCACCGAUGGUGGUUAUGAAAAGUUCGAAAGUGAGAUAUCUUUCUUGGGUGCUUCUAAGUCAAAGAGGUGCACGGGUGAUCACGUGUUUAUUCUAUCUAGCAUCAAAAUCGUUAAAAGAGACAAUAAUUAUGAGGAGGCAUCAUUUGAAUUCUACAUCAGAAAUAGGGAUUACGAAGAAGAAGAAGAAGCAGAAGCAGAAGCAGAAAAAAUUAUCAAGGUGGAGAGAUGUGGUGUUCGUGUAUUUUACGUGGAUGCAGAGAGGGAAACUAACGCUAUAGAAAUGGACCAAAAGAAGCUUUAGACAUGAUGGUGAAGAAGGGGAUGGAGGCCCUAAACGAUCGAAAUAGUUUUUAUUUCUUUUCAUCUUUGGCUCUGGUUUUCUAGAGUUGCAACUUCUCAAUUAUGUUAUCCAAAUGCAUAGGUAUGGUUUUCAUUUUCAUCUCAUUUUUUCAUAUUAUCAUACAAUUUUCAUUUUUUUUAUUUCAUUUUUCAUGUUGCCAUACUUUUAUUUUUCACAAUUGUUAAAACUAAAUUUUUAAUUUACUUAAUUAAAACAAACCAGAAUGAAGCUAACUUGCUCUACUUUAUAAAUUGCUAGUCAUUUAGAAGGUGCUUUACCAUUUUCGAGAAACUGAAAACUUGUAGUUCCACAUUGUAAAUGUUAAAAGCAUAGUUUAUGAACAUAAAAUGGAAAUUUGUUCUAUAGUUUGUGGUAGUUUCUUCUUAUUAUUUUUCUCAUAUCCAUUCCUCUGUUGUGUCUGUGUUCUUUUGUAGGUAUAGAAUAUAUUGUCUAAGAAGGAAAUUCUCCAUAUUAAUUGAUUUUGAGGAAAAUUGAAUGGCAACUGGAGAGAUUUCAAUACAGUAGCAAAAAGAUCCUGCUUUGGAGCUGAUAAAAUAUUCAUAAACAGCCCAAAUUAAUAGGAUCGUACUCAAAUAUAUAUGUAAUUAGCUCAUAAAAGUAUGUCAUUUUAGAGUAUUAUCAAUAGGGGUUAUUGGUAGGUGACCAAAUUUAGAUAUUAAGAUUCAUACUUAAAUUAUUCAGCCUCAUUGUUUAGUUGCUAACGUCAUUGUUGGUGUUAGAACAGAAUUAGACAAGUUCAGCUUGUGUCUUGUGCAACAAGCCUCGAUGCUUGCUGAGCAAACAAACGAAUUCGAGCAGAAGAGAAGAAGAAAAACUAAGGAAAAAAUGGAGAGUAUUUGAUGAACAAAAAUGAUUCAUUCAUUUUUUGAAUAAUGGCACAAUGCCAAUACAUAUAACCAAGCACUAAGCUUGUCAAAAAACAGUAAGUAAUCACCUAAACAUUACCUACCUCCACUAAUUACAUAGAAACUUGAAAUUUAAACUUGUAAACUGGAACAAAGCUGUGUUUACAGCUCACACUCUAGCUAAGUACAUCAAUCAUAGACCUAACUUAGUUAGAAAUGAACUAAGACAUAUUUUAUUAACUAAAGUUUACAAAAUGAACAAAAUAAGCUUGCAUCAGCAGCUCCUGCAUGGCUUGGUCUUCUUGCUGUCGAGUGUUUGCUGCAUGCUGACCAACUUCAUCACUCCUCAUUGGUUGCAAACACCUAAUUUCCUUCUUAGACACUCAAACCUUGUGACAUUAAGGGCUUUAGUUAAAAUGUCUGCAAGUUGAUCCUCUGAAUUGCAGUGAAUCAAUAUCACCUCCUGUGCUUGCUUCAUUUCUCGAACAACAAGCAACUUAAUGCUAAAAUGCUUUGUUCUUCCAUGGAACAGUAGAUUUUUGGCAAUUGCAACAGCAGAUUGAUUGUCACAGAAAAUUUCUGUUGCUUCUCUUUGCUGAAAAUUCAAGUCAAUCAAGAUUUUCCUUAGCUAAACGGCUUGGUUGACAGCACUUGCUGCUGCCACAUACUCUGCUUCAGCAGUAGAUUGAGCCACCAGGCUUUGCUUCUUCGAGCUCCAGCAGAACAUGGCUGAACCAAGGUUGAAAGCAUACCCUGAGGUGCUUUUCAGAUCAUAUAUCGAGCCAGCCCAGUCACUAUCAGUGUAGCCUACCAGCUUCAAAUUUCCUUCUUUGCUGUAUCUCAGACCAUAGCCCAAAGUACCCUUGAUAUACCUAAGCACUCUUUUUGCAGCCUGAAAAUGUUUCUCAUUGCAGCAAUGCAAGAAUCUUGAGAGCAAUCCUACAGCAUACAUUAUGUCUGGUCUAGUGGCAGUUAAGUAUAGCAAGAAACCAACUAGACUUCUGUAGGUAGUUUCACAAACCUUCUCAAAAUCACCUUGGCUUGAUAGCUUCUCUCCAAAAGCAACAGGUGUCUUAGUUGCCUUGCUGUUUUGCAUGGAGAACUUAGUCAGAAUCUUUGUGGCAAAGCUUUUCUGACUUAGGAAUAUCCCAUUCUGAUUUUGUGACACCUCCAUUCCAAGAAAAUAGGACAUCUCUCCUAGAUCAGACAUUUUAAACACCUCUUGCAUCUUGGUCUUGAAAUCGACCAGCAUUGUUUAAUCUCCUCUUGUCACUAGCAGGUUAUCAACAUACAGGGACACAAUGAGCUGUGUUUGUGCCCCUUCUUUCUUAACAUACAAUGUUGGUUCACUCUUACUUCGAUCGAAUCCCAAAUCAAUGAAGUAGCCAUCAAUUCUGUUAUACCAGGCCCUUGGGGCCUGUUUCAAGCCAUACAAGGCUUUCUUCAGCUUGUACACCAUCUGUACCUUCCCAGCUAUUUCAAACCCUUGUGGUUGCUCAACAUAGAUGUCUUCCUCAAGAAUUCCAUUGAGAAAGGCUGACUUUACAUCAAGCUGGUGAAUUUUCCACUACAUUUGUACAGCUAAGGCAAUCAACAGCCGUAUGGUGUCAAUCCUGGCCACUAGUGCAAAGGCCUCCAGGUAGUCCAGGCCAUAUUUCUGACUGAACCCUUUGACAACCAACCUUGCUUUCAACUUGUUCAAGCUUCCAUCAGCAUUCUGCUUGGCUUUGUACGCCCAUUUCACUCCAAUAACCUUCCUUUUGACUGGUCUUUCAACCAAUUCCCAAGUCUGGUUCUUCUCAAUCAUGUUGAUCUCCUCAGCCAUUGCCUUCUUCCAUCCUUGCUGAGUUUCAGCCUCCUCAAAUCUACUUCGUUCAGCUAUGGCUACAUGAGCCCUUUCAUAAAUCUCAGCCAAUGGUCUUGUUCCCCUGACUGGUUCAUCAUCGAUGUCCAUUUCAGGACCAUUUUGGUCUGGCUCAGCUUGAUCUGCUGCAAGUUCUUCUGAAACUUCAUCAGGUUCAUGUCUUUCCCAGUUCCAACAUGACCUUUCAUCAAAUACCACAUCCCUGCUGACUGACACUUUGUUUGUUGAAGGAUCCAAGAUCCUAUAGCCCUUCUUGACAGUGCUGUAGCCCACUAAAAUACCAGGUCGAGCCCUUUCAGACAACUUGUCCCUUUUAACAGCAGGUACAUGUGCAUAACAAAUGCAUCCAAAGACCUUUAGAUGAGCCAGUGAUGGUUUGAGUCCAAACCAGGCCUCGAAUGGAGUCUUCUGAGCCAAAGCCUUAGUUGGAAGCCUGUUUUGAAUGUAGGUUGCAGUGUUAACUGCCUCUGCCCAUAGAGCUUUAGGUAGAUUCUUCUGAAUCAUCAGGCACCUAGCCAUAUCCAUCAGGCUCCUAUUCUUUCUUUUACUUACUCUAUUUUGCUAGGGUGUAUAUGUGUUGCUAAGCUGAUGUUUGAUGCCUGCCUUAUCACAGAAGGCUUGGAAUUGAGCUGAGGUGUACUCAGUCCCAUUAUCAGACCUUAUGGUCUUCAGCUUGCAACCUGUUUCAGUCUCAGCAGCAGUCUUAAACUUCAAUAACACAAAGGCCACCUCUAAUUUCUGUUUCAAGAAAUAAAGCCAGCAAUAUCUCGAGAAAUCAUUAAUGAACAGUAUAAAAUACUUAUUUCCACUUAAUGACUCAGUCUUCAUGGGGCCACACACAUCAGUAUGCACCAAUUCCAGUCUUUCAGAGGCUCUCCAGGCUUGAUUCGAGGGAAAUAAAAGUCUGGCCUGCUUGCCUAGCUGACACACUUCACACACCUCUUGGUUUUAAACUGAAUUUAUGAAAUUUUCAACCAAACCACUCCUGGACAUGUGCUCCAUUGAUUUGUAGUUGGCAUGACCAAGUCUUUGAUGCCAAAGCUUGGAUUCAUCUAUUGUAGCCAUGUAGGCAGUGUCUGAUUCCUUUGUCUAGUCAACCACAAAGCUUUUAUCAGCCAUAGAGACUGCCAUCAGCUUGGAUCUACUUGGAUCACUGAUUUGGCUCUGAUUAUCGUUGAACACCACAGAAUACCCUUUCUCCAACAAUUGAGCUAUGCUGAGCAGGUUUCUAUCGAUUCUAGGCACCAAAAGCACAUUUGAAAUAACUUUGGCACCUGUGGGAGUGCAUAUCAGCACAUCACCCUUGCCUUCAGCUUUUAUGAAGUGGCCAUUACCAAUUUUAACUUUGGUUCUGCAGCUUCUGUCCAAUGACUUGAAGAUUGCAACAUCAGGUAUCAUAUGGUUGGUGCAUCUACUUUCUAGGAGCCAACCAGUUGAGAGCCUUUUUUGUGCAGCUGAACAUGACACAGCAAAGACUUGCUCCUCUUGGUCACUAUCUUCCUUGGCUACUCGAGCCUCAGCUUUUAUCUGUUGAGACUGGUUCUGUCUUGGUUUGCCAUUGCUUUUGCAGACCCUUUCAACAUGACCCUUCUUUUUGCAAUGUUGGCAUACAGCAUCUGGAUUGAACCAGCAGUUUUCUUUUAGAUGAUCAGGCCUUUUGCAGUGCUUGCAAGUCUGACCUUCUUUUCUUGCAGCAUCAUACCUUGGCUUGUCUCUCCUGGCCUUCUUGCCUUUGUAGGCAGUAUUUGUUUUUGCCUGAAAGGCACCUUCUUGGUGCUCCUCCAGUCUGCUUGCUCUCCUCUGCUCUUGAGCAUAUAGAGCAUUGAUCAACUCUGUAAAAAGAAUGUUGGUCAGGUCCCUUGAGUCUUCGAGGGAUGAGAUUUUUGCCUCAUACCUCUCGGGCAAAGUUGAAAUAACCUUUUCCACUAUCCUAGCUUCAUUAAACUGCUCUCUAAGGAGCCUAAUGCUGUUAACUACAGCCAUAAUCCUGCCAGAGUAUUGCUUGACAGUCUCUUCUUCCUUCAUCUUCAAAUUCUCGAACUCCCUUAUCAAAUUCAACAACUGUUGCUGCCUUGUCCUCUUUGUCCCUUGAAACUCUUCUUUCAACUUGUCCCAGGCCUGCUUUGGUGAUUCACAAGUCAUAAUCCUUGUGAAAAUCACAUCAGACACUGAGUUCUGGAUGCAAGACAUGGCCUUUUGCCUCUUGGUCCUCUUAUCAGUAUGCUGCCUGAUCUGAGCCACUGUUGGAUUGGCUCUAAGUGGCUCUGGUUCAACAUCAGAGUUGACCACCUCCCACAGAUCGAAAGCCUGUAGGUAAGUCUUCAUUUUGACCACCCAUAUGUGAUAGCCUUCUCCAUUGAAGACUUGUGGUGCAGCUGGUGAAAAGUUUGAUGAAGCCAUUCUUUGAAUACCAGGUCCCUUAAGAAAUAUGCUCUAGAUACCAAUUGUUGGUGUUAGAACAGAAUCAGACAAGCUCAGCUUGUGUCUUGUGCAACAAGCCUCGAUGCUUGCUGAGCAAACAAACGAAUUUGAGCAGAAGAGAAGAAGAAAAACUAAGGAAAAAAUGGAGAGUAUUUGAUGAACAAAAAUGAUUCAUUCAUUUUUUUGAAUAAUGGCAUAAUGCCAAUACAUAUAACCAAGCACUAAGCUUGUCAAAAAACAGUAAGUAAUCACCUAAACAGUACCUACCUCCACUAAUUACAUAGAAACUUGAAAUUUAAACUUGUAAACUGGAACAAAGUUGUGUUUACAGCUCACACUCUAGCUAAGUACAUCAAUCAUAGACCUAACUUAGUUAGAAAUGAACUAAGACAUAUUUCAUUAACUAAAGUUUACAAAAUGAACAAAAUAAGCUUGCAUCAGCAGCUCCUGCAUGGCUUGGUCUUCUUGCUGUCGAGUGUUUGCUGCAUACUGACCAACUUCAUCAGGUGCUCACAUUACAUGAUUUCAUGUUAAUUAGAAAGAUUGGUUUCUCUUAUAACCUAUGCUUUUAUGUUGAUUUAGGAGUAGGUGUUUCCUAUUUGUUGUGAGAUUCGAUACUCAACAGAACUUGCAGAUUAUGGAUGGUUCUGAUAUCCUCUUUCUCACCAACAAAACAAGUUCCCAUGAAAUUUCUGGUAUUAAAGUCAAGUUUGUGACCAAUGCAAAAUAUUUUUAGCCAAUAAUGAGUUGGAGUUUUAGCCAUAUAAGGAGGAACACCUAAGCUGUAAGAGCUUCAAUUUCUUUUACUUGAUGCUUAUUUUAUUUAUGUGUUUGAACUGAUAUUUUGAGACAAUGCAAGUUGUCAACAGAUUUGCCUUAUUGGUCUAUUCAUAUGAUGGUUCAACGCAAAAUUGAAGGAAUCUUUUGAAUACCUUUUCUGGGCUCUGGCAAUUCAGUCUUGGUGGAGAAGUAAGUUACCUUUGACUUAUUAUUAUGAUUUUAGGUUCAUCUAAUGCUUAUUUUUUCUAGAUUUAUCAAAGAAAUUCCGAGAGUUGCUCGUAUCUCAAAUCUUGUGGUAUGAACACAUGGAGCUGGAGGCAAGCGUUUGACGGCCAUCAUUCUCAAGUUGGAUUGGUGAGCUUAUGUUUAUCCCAUUGAGGAACCCAAGAAGAUACUGGAAAUAUAUUAAAUGAUUUGAGUUUAGUUUGAAGUGAAGAGCUGGUUCCAUGGUAGAGCCAUUGGAAUUGAUAUUUUCUUAUCUUGGAUUUUGAUUAUCAGAUCAGUUGGGGCUGAAGUCUCUUUGUAUGUUAUUGCCUUUCAAGUUGUUUAAGCAGCAUUGUGGCGAGGAGAUAUUAAGAUUCAUGCUUUAUUCUUUUCAGCAGUUGACUCCAUAGGAUCAAUGGAGGACUUCAUUCAGCUUCAUUAAAAAGUAGAUAAUUAAUCAUCUGGUAUCUCAAUAAACUCAUUGCAUUUUCCUUCAAUGAUAUCUUGAUUCGUUGAUUUAUGAUUCAUGUCUAUUUAUACUGGAAUUGCAGUCGCAGAUUAAGGUUGGGUUUGAUAUGAUAUCUUCUUUCUUACCAACAAAUACAAGUUCCACUAAAUUUCUAGUGUUAAUGUAAGGUUGUGCCCUAUGCCUAAUCUUUUUUUAUCUCACUUUAUAGAUGUGCUUUUUACUUGCAGAGUUUAAAGCAAUGUAGUAUAAGUGUUGAAGCUGGCCAGCAUGCUGCCAUGAUGCAACAGGAAUAGCCCAAGCCACGCAGUUGUUGCUGAAGAUCAAGCUACUGUUUUGUUUUGUUUUGUUUCUUAAAGUGAUGUUUUGUAACUUAGUUGAAAUCAAACUAAGUUGUACUUGCUGAUUAGGUGCUGAUAAGUUGAUAAAUCAGUUUACCUAUGUGUACAAGUCAUGUUUUGUAAGUUACAAUGCAAUUAGUGGGGUUAGAUAGUGUUUAGGUGUUGAUUUGCUUGUGCUGACCAGUUCAUGUCUUGUAUUUGUAUUGGCUUUAAGCUAUUGUUCAUUUUAAUGAAAAAUUAUCAAGCAAUUGUUUAUCAUAUACUCUCUCAAUUUUAGUUUCAUUCUGGUGCUCCAAAGCCAAAUUCUGUCAUUGAUUGUUCUGCAAGUCCCGAGCCUUAUUGCUCAAGAAACUGUUCAGCCAAAACCUAGAGAUUAAGCUUUGACUUUUUAAAUAUGCUACAGUGAAGGGAAUGAAGAUGUCAGUGAUUGGUUUAAGAAAAGCAGAUGAGGAAACAGAGUCAAGACGACAUUAAUGGCAGAUGAGUAAGCUUCUAAUUUCUUCUAUUGAGUUAUUGCCAUAUAUUUGUGGUUGAACUGAGACGUCGAGGCUGUGUUACAAUUUGUUAACAGAUUGUCCUAGUUGAUAUCAUUCAACUUUGCUUCAAUGCUUUCUGGUUGUUGGAGCUUUGGAGGAGCCAUAUGCUCUUGCCAAUUUAGCCUUCCCGGUGAGCUUAAUUACCUUUCUUUCAUUGUCAUCUUUUACAACCCUCAUGGCCAUCUGAUCUUUUAAACACAAAUGAUUUGGGUUUAGUUUGAGUUGGUUUCAAGGUAGAGCCAUUUGACUUCAUUAUCAUAUCAGUUUGGGAUGAAAUUUGAAUUAAUUUUCCGUUUUUUUGUAUUUGAGAUUAUCAGAGAUUGAACUUUGAUUUGAUUUUUGUGAUUAAAAUUCCGGAGUUUUACUAUCUUUUUGGAUAGAAAGGAUGAAUACUGUAAUUGGCAAUCAGGGACUUUAGUCACUAAGCAUUAACUAUUCUAUCACCUUAUGUUCUUCAUAUAAUUUGGAUUUAAUCCAUUUGGUUCAUGCAUUCAUUUUUAUGAGCUUCGAAACUUUUGUCUUUACAGUCACUUUCUCUAAUCCUAAACUAUGAUUUUACUACAAGAGAAAACACAAAUUAUACUACUCUGAUUAUUUUAUAUUGCAUUAUUUACACAAAUCUAUAGGUGUUGAUCUUAGCUGAACAUGUUAUGCGGUUGCAGUGUGGUGUUUGUGUCUUGAAACAAACGAUGCGAUUUUCCAUAACUAUUUGCUGCAUAUGGUGAUUCUUCGUUGUGAAUUUACAGUCACUGUUUUGGGAGAAUGAUGUUAAGGGGGUGCCGGAAUUCCAGCAGUCGUAAAACGUUGUGAAUUUACAGUCACUUUUGGGGACGUAUCCGAGUUAAUCAAUUGAUCCUUCAGGUGAAAGAUAUUGAUUUUCGUAGAUGUCUUGCCAAGGCAUAUCAGCCAAGGACGGCGUGGAUCGAAUUUUAAUGUUCAUGGCAUUGUAUUUAUUGACAUUACAUUAUGUUGCAUUGUUGUUUUUUGUUUUACGUGUUGCUUGGAAGCUCCGACUCAAGUUAGCAGUUGAAGCCAUUGAGGCUUUAUUUUAAGGUUUACACUUUGUUUCCUUUAUUUUAUAUGAUCUUCAAACGAUGUUUAAUCAAAUAUAUUCCACUUGAUUGUAAACUUCAUUGUAUUAAACUUAAUCAUUUCCAUUAGAUUGUAAAAUUAGGCAAUCUUAUGAUGAUAGGCAGCAGAGUUAAAAGGCUUUUCAAAAGAUAGAAUCUGAUGGGUUUGUAAGGUCCGUACGCACAUUGAGUGAUAGAUAAUUGGGUAAGCUUAAGUUUUCAUUUUCUUGCAGAGCAAUAGAAACCCAUCAAAUAUCUAAAUAAUUAGACACUGUAAAGACUUACUAAAUAUCACACAAGGGAUCAAAGUAUAUAUAAGCUCUCAAGUGUAGGCAAAUCCAAAUAUUUAUUUGCUUUUAAGACUUACUAAUCUAUAACAAUGGUAUCUCCUAUUGAUCUUGAUUACAUCAAGCUCUAAAUCAGUUGCUAAGCAGUUUAGGUGAAUUCAUGUUUAAUUUGUCUUGAUUUAACAAAUUCAGACUGCUACAUUUGUGUAAAUAUGUAAAUGUUAAUGCUAAAUUUGUUGAUUUUUUAGAAUUAAGAUCAAAUUUACAAAAAUGUAAACAUUGAGGGCUAAAUUUAUUGUUAUACCAAUCAAAAUUAUGUGAAUUUGAUAGAAGACAUUAACUAUCGAUGUAGUUAAAUGUCCUUAUUCAAUUUUCAAAAAUUAUUUGUUGCUCACUUUCAAAAUUAACAAAGAUUAAAUUUCUCUUCUUUUAAAGGGAUCAAUUUAGUCAAUUUUGAAAUUAAGAAAGACUAAAGAAGUCAUUUUACCCAAACUUGCCUUCCCUAUGUUAGAAAGGACUAACAAAGAAAAUCUAUCAUUAUUUCACCUUGGAAAAUAGAAACACAACGCCCUUCCUUCCAAAGACUUUUUAUUUAGGGGAAAAAAGUGAAAAUUAUUCUUCAAGAAAGUGGUAGGAAAUUUAAGUUCAAUUCACUUAAAAUUGUCUAAAAAAGGCAAUUAUUCUUAAGAAAGUUUUACAAAAUUUCAGUUCAAUUGACCCAAAUGCAAAAAUGUGUUAGCCAAAAUGAAAUUCAUGAAUGGUGACAAAUUUUUUUGAAGUUAUACGUUUGGUUACGAAAUCAACUAAUAUAUAUUUUCGUAUAGAUGAUUUACUCAUAGUAACAUAUUAAAUAGGCCCUUAACCUUUAUCACAUUAUCUAAAUAAUCUUGUGUACUUUUAUCAUACCCCACAUAAGCCUUUAAACUUUAUUUGUUAUCCAAAUAACUUUUAAUUUUUAAUUUGUAUCUAGAAAAGUUUUAAUCUUAACAAUUUUGUCCCAUUGGAAGACCUUGACUUGGAAUUAACACCCAUCAUCAUCAUCAUCAUGGUCAUUUGGAACAAGUUUUCUUGUUGGUCAAAACUCCCUUUCUUCUUCUUCAUCAAAGCCCACAACACCAGAAGGCUAAUACAUAGACCUUGACUUGGAAAUUAACACCCAUCAUCAUCGUCGUCGUUUGGAACAAGUUUUCUUGUUGGUCAAAACUCCCUUUUAAUACUCUUUCAUGCCUUCUUCUUCAUCAAAGCCCACAUCACCAGAAGGCUAAUACAUAGACCUUGACUUGGAAAUUAACACCCAUCAUCAUCGUCGUCGUUUGGAACAAGUUUUCUUGUUGGUCAGAACUCCCUUUUAAUACUCUUUCAUGCCUUCUUCUUCAUCAAAGCCCACAUCACCAGAAGGCUAAUACAUAGACCUUGACUUGGAAAUUAACACCCAUCAUCAUCGUCGUCGUUUGGAACAAGUUUUCUUGUUGGUCAAAACUCCCUUUUAAUACUCUUUCAUGCCUUCUUCUUCAUCAAAGCCCACAUCACCAAAAGGCUAAUACAUAGACCUUGACUUGGAAAUUAACACCCAUCAUCAUCGUCGUCGUUUGGAACAAGUUUUCUUGUUGGUCAAAACUCCCUUUUAAUACUCUUUCAUGCCUUCUUCUUCAUCAAAGUCCACAUCACCAGAAGGCUAAUACAUAGACUUAAGGCUUAAAAUAUGGUUCUUUAUAUAAACUCAAAAUCUUUUUGCCUUUGUUUUUCUAAAUAAUGUGAAAUAUGGGCUUUUAUAUAGAUUCAUAAUCCCUUUGUGCUUUGUUCUUAAGCAAUACGAGAUUUAUUAUCCUUUUAACUAACAAAAGAUUUAAGUUAAACUUGGUUUUUAAAAAUUAACAAUAAUAGUUAAACUAUGCACAACAAUAAACACAAAUAAAAUAUAUUAAAUGGUGAUUAUAAGUUGAUGUUGAAAUUCAACACUCCCCUCAUCACCAACUUAUUUUAAAAUUAACGUGUCAUUUGAAAUAAGGGCUAAUUUAAACACAGAUAAAAACAUAGGGGUUUAUUUGGGUACAACAAAAGUAAACUAGUUCAAGGACUCUUUUAACAAUUUAACCAUUUGCUGAACAUUGUCCCAUUGGAAGACCUUGACUUUUGUGGGUAAAAUAUACAAAUAAAGAAGACUGUCAUUUCCUGGAAAGUGUGAAAGUGACAAUUUUCUUGACUCAGAUAAUUAGCUAAUCUCCUCCACUCGUUGCCUUUGUUAAAUCUCAUUUUCUCAUUGUCAUUUAAUUCUAGAAUACCAAAGCUCCCUUUGUGUACUUUCCUCUCUCCUUCCCAUCUUCUUCUGGUCAAAUGAUGCGUUAAGUUUUCUUAACCUUUGAGGUGAAGACACAUGCCUUAACUCAAAAUUUAUUUUCUCAUAGGUUCUAGUAUGAUAAAAUUAUCGUGACUUUAAUAAAAUUAGAAUUUAGUUGAGAAAAUAAUUUAAUUGAAUGAAUGAAUUAAAUUUAUUUUAAUUAAUUAUAUAAAUAAUAUUUUUACAAUGAAAACUUGAUAUUGGGUUGGAUAAUUAAAUGAGUUGAUUUAAGUUUAUAUAGACUUGAUCAUGGGUCGAGCCGGUGCAAAAUUUUAGGCCCAUUUUCUAAGCCCGGCCUGACCUACCCGUAUUAAUUUCUUUAGAUUGUUUUUAUGUAAAGAUAAAUUUAAAAAAUAUAAUACAUCAAAUACACUAAAAAUAUUAAAAUAAAUGUUUCUCAAUAAAUUAAAAAUAUAUUUUUAAAAUAAAUAUUUAUACUUAAAUAAUACUAAUACAGUUGCAACUCAACAAUCAAAUGUUUUUAAAUAGUAGCAAAAUUAACAAUAAAACAAAAAAUUCAAUAUCCAAACAAUAACAAUAAAAUAUUAACAAUACGAUAAUAAAAUUGUAACGAAACAACAAUAUAACAGCAGCAAACAACAACAGAAAAGAAAUAGUCAAAUUCGAGCUGGGUCAAAAUAUCUAGCCCAAGACCCGAGCUAUUUAGGAAAUGUGCCAAUAUUGGUAAGUUGAAUAAUAUUUUACUCAACAUUUACGUUCUAACACAUAAACUAUUAUUUUCCAGCUUUUAAAUUAAUUGCCAAUGAUAGAAAUAUGAAGUGCUUUAAUUAAUUAAAACCAACCAGAAUCACAUGCUCUACAAAUAGCUUGUGAUUUAUUCUUUGGUGCAUUAUCAACUUACCUUUUUCCUUAUGCAUUUUACAAGCUAUAUGUACGGUUGUGAUGCGCAACUUUUGUGGAACUUCCAUGAAAAUUCAGCCCAGGGGUGGUAGCUGCUUUGAUUUAUCCAAAUUCCUACAUAUGUAGCUUCGAGGAAGCAAAGAAGGUUUAUUAGUCAUUUUGAAAUUGGUGUCAAAAGCAAAAGCAACCCUUUUUUUUUCCUCAGCCAAUAAAAAUAUUUUAUUAAUAAGUCUUUAUCACCUCACCAAAAAAAAAGUGAGUUUCCAUGCUUUGGUGCAUUAUCAACUUUUACUUGUCCUUAUGCAUUUUGGAACAAUAUGUAUGACUGUAAUAUGCAGAUUUUCUUUGUAAAUUCAGCGAAAAAACAAAAGAAAAAAGGCGAAGAUUCUUGACAUCUUUGUAGCAUAUUUUUUUUGCAAUCAAUGAAUUAAAAUAAGACAAUUUUUAAUCUCACUCGUGGCAUUAAAAUAAAAGCUCCACUACAAAUGCUGGUGUACGACCUAUUUUUCACAUUUAUUAAAAGAGGAUUACAUUUUUAAUUUGAUUCUAAAUAGGGCCUUAUUUUAUAUUAUUAUAAUAGUCCAAACUAAUUUGGGCAUCAAUAUUUUGUGCUUUGAAAUUUACUUAAUAUCCAUCAACUAGAUUUGGUUACAAAAUCAACUUGUAACUUUUUUUUUCCUAUAGAUGAUUUGCUUAGACUAAUAUACUAAAUAAGUCAUAAGCUUUAUUCAAUUAAGCUCUUAAAAUUUUAUGGGUAAAUUAUCUCGUUAGUUAUUUUAAAUAAGGGUCAUUCCUAUUUUGGUUGCUCUAAUAUUUUUGUUAAUUUGGUAAUCCAAAAGGGAAAUUGAUCACUCUUCUGUAAAACGAUAAUGGAAUAUUGAUUGUGUAUUUCCAUAUUAGUCAUGCUGAAAUUUUUAUGAUGGAAGCAAUUUUUGUUUUAAAAAUUCACGUCAGUAUUUCAAUUGGAAUAAUUAAUAGUAAUAUUUACUUGGAUUAAUUGAUGAUAUUAUUGUAGUAAAGGAUCAAAUUAUUCCAUUUUAAAGUAUAAAAAUAAAAAUAUAAAUUUAGGAAUAAUAAUAGGACCAAAACAAAAUUUUAAUUGUAAGGACUAAAUUAUAAAAUCUAGAAAUUUUAGAAAAGGGACUGUUUUGUAAAAUUGUACAAAAAGAGGUUUAGAACUGAACUGCAGAAUAAUAAAAUCUAUUUUUGAGGAAUUAAAUUGCAGAAUAGUAGAAUUUUAGAUUCCAGGGACUAAUUCGUAAAAAUAUAAAAUUGAAAUAUGAGGGACUAUUUUCUUCGACAGUGAAGAGACCUUUCCUUUUGUUGCUCUAAAAGCUUCUCCUUUUUGUUUCUUCGACAGUGAAGAUAGUCAAUAUAGUCUUAUUAGUUUGGAAAAUGUCUUAUGGAAAAAAAAAUUGGUAAGAUAUUUUCCUUGAAAAUGUCUUGAUUUUACAUUUUUUUUCAAGAAUGAUUUCCUUUAGUAAUUCAUUUUCCACCAAAUAUAGACGGUAAAACAAUGAAAAUAUUUUACAUACAAACAAAUAGACCAUUAAUUAGAAAAUCGAUUCGAUUCUAUAUUUAAAAUAAAUGUUGGCAAGCAUAUUUGUUGGUAAAAAAUCUAUUAGACUCUCUGAUCAAUUUUGGCAUUAAGCAAAUUGGAGUCGCUUAAAAAAAUCGAAGCAAUUUAAAUCCCAUCAGUUUCUACAGUGAGUAAUUAAGGAUAAUUAAUCACAACAUUGAUGUUUUCCAUCAAAUGUAAAUAAUUUUAAUUGGUAUAAUAACAAAUUUACCCCUCAAAGUUUACAAUUAUAUCACUUGUCUUGAUUUAACAAAUUUAGCCAGCAAUAUUUGUGUAAAUGUUUAUACUAAACUUGUUGAAUUUUCAGAAUUAAGACCAAAUUGACAAAAAUGCAAACAUGGCUAAAUUUUUUGUUAUAUCAAUCAAAAUUAUGUACAAUUGACGAAAAAUAUUAAUGUCGUGAAUAAUUGUUCUUUGUUGCUCACUUUUGAAAUUAAGAAUGAUUAAAUUGCUUUGAUUUUUUUGAGAGGGACUAAUUUAUUCAAUUUCAAAAUUGAUAGAGAUUGGAGAUAUAUUUUUACGCAAACACACCUUACCUUUGUUCAGAAGAAAGGACUAAACAGGAAACCCCCAAAAGCACAAAGAAAAUCUAUCAUGGUUUCACCUAAGAAAAAUAGAAAUACAACAUCCUUCCUUCCAAAGACUUUUCAUUUAGGGGAAAAAAGUGGCGAUUAUUCUUGAGAAAGUUGUAGGAAAUUUAAGUUGAAUUCACCUAAAAUUGUCCAAUUAUUCUUAAGAAAGUUAUACCAAAUUUCAGUUCAAUCGACCCAAAUGACAAAGUGUGUAAAAGUCAAUAUUUUUUGUUAGAAAAUUUAUAAGAAAUUUUAUCACAACCCAAAACGAAAUUCAAGAAUGGUGACAAAUUUUUUUUUUGAAGUUAUACGUUUGAUUACAAAAUCAAUUAAUAUUUACUUUUUGUAGAGAUGAUUUAUCGCAUUAUUUAAAUAAUCUCUUGUACUUUUAUCAUACCCCAAAUAAGCCUUUAAAGUCUAAAUAACCCUCAAGUUUUUUACCUGUAUCUAGAUAAGUUUUAGCAUUCAAUUUAUAGGAAAAUAUUUAGUAUAUUGAUAAUAGAGGUUUUAGACUUCACAACUUGACAAAUUUUUAUCAGUAAAAACUCAUCGGCUAUGCUUCACCCUUUCAAUCUCAUUCCCAUUUAACUGACUCACUUUUUCUUCUUACCAUUACAAAAAUAGAAGCAAAAGCAAAGCUCCCUCAGUUUAUUUUGUUCUCUUUUCCUCAAUCUCACAAUCCACUAUCUGUUUUGCCCUUUGCUCGAUUUCGUAAUCUUCUUCGGGUUUUGCCUAUCGAGAAGAUGAGUGAAUGUUAGAGUAUAGAUAAAGACUCUAUUAGUUUAUUAGUUGUUAGUCUGUUAUACAAGCAGUUAUGCUGUUAACUGAAAUUGUUAGUAGCAAUUACUCAUACACAUAUUAUCAAUACUAUUGUUAUACUGGUUAAAUUCAAGAUAAUAAUACAAAAAUCAUUCUCUGCAUAUUCUAUUUUUCUUUCAACUUAAUGUAGAUAUUAACAUAAAGCAAGGUUGUGCCGUAUGCCUACUUUUUUAUUGUCUUACAUUAUAGAUGUGCUUUUUACUUGCAGAGUUUAAAGCAAGGUAGUAUAAGUCAGCCAAAACCUGGGGAUUAAGCUUUGACUUUUUAAAUAUGCUACUAUGAAGGGAAUGAAGAUGGCAGUGAUCGGUGUAAGAAAAACAGAUGAGGAAACAGAGAGUCAAGAGGGAAUUAAUGGCAGAUCUUUGGAAAGGCCAUUAUGCUUGGAAUUUUAGCUAUUCAAAAAGAGAGGGAAUGAAGAUGGCAGUGAUCGGCGUAAGAAAAACAGAUGAGGAAAUAGAAAGUCAAGAGGGAAUUAAUGGCAGAUCUUUGGAAAGGCCAUUAUGCUUGGAAUUUUAGCUAUACAAAAAAGAGAGGAAUAAGUAAGCUUCUAAUUUCUUCUACUGAAUUAUUGUCAUAUAUUUGUGGUUAAGCUGAGAUAUUGAGGCUUUAUUGCAACCUGUUAACAGAUUUGGCUUGUUGAUAUCAUUCAACUCUGAUAAUUUUAUAUUGCAUUAUUUACAGAAAUCUGUAGGUGUUUAGCUUAGCUGAACAUGUUAUGCGGCUGCAAUGUGGUGUUUGUGUCUUGAAACAAGCGAUGCGAUUUUCUAUAGCCAUUUGCUGCGUACAGUAAGUCUUCGUUGUGAAUUUACAGUCACUGUUUUGGGAGAAUGAUGUUAAGGGGGUGCUGGAACUCCAGCAAUCGUAAAACGUGGCUGUGAUUCGAGCUAUUAUACUGUGCUUGAAGCUUCGAACUAGAGCAUGACAGUUUCAUUGCGUAUCAAUUCAACCUCAGAUUCUUUGGGGGACGUAUCCGAGCUAAUUAAUUGGUCCAUCAAGUGAAAGAUAUCGAUUUUUGAAAAUGUCUUGCUAAGGCAGCGGCCAAGGAUGGGGUGGAUUGGAUUUUAAUGUUUAUGGAAUGGUAUUUAUUGGCAUUAUACAUUAUGUUGUACUGUUGUUUUUUGUUUACUGUGUUGCUUGUAAGCUGUAACUUUUACACUUGGUUUCCUUUAUUUUAUAUGAUCUUCAAACGAUGUUUAAUCAAAAAUUUUCCACUUGAUUGUAGACUUCAUUGUGUGAAACUUAAUCAAUUUCAUUAGAUUGUAAAAUUAGGUAGUCUUAAGAGUAUAUUGUAAUUUGAUAUUGCUAAUUUUACAUAAAGGUCCAUGGAUAAAUUAUACAUUGCGAAUUCUACAAAUGUUU
rnacentral:lncRNA from 1 species